UCCGCAGCACACAUGGUCGUUCCUCCAACCGAGAGGCUGAUUUACGGAGAACAUACAUGAGUUUUCUUUUUGAGAUAAAGAAGAACAUGUUACAUGCAGGUUUCAUACGAGCCUUUAACACACAACCAACACAGGAUGCAAAACGGCAAAGUUCAAUAGCCAGCUUUUUACACCUCCCAUUCAAAACAAAAUCCUGAACUGCACGCUUCUUCAGCAAUUUGAUCGGCGCAGCAUAUAAAAUCAUUACUAUGACAUGUUGCGUCAAACACAAAAUUGUAUACAAAUUCGAUAUUGAUUCUAGCUGCUCAGCUUAUCAGGAUCUCUGCAAACUGUAAGGCUUACCGUUUCUGUGUGUCACGGUUCCGGUGCUUAGGCUGACUUUGUGAACUGGCAAGAGUAACCGUGGAUGCAAGAACAACUCCGGUUCCUGCUGCAGCGGCCGAUGAGGAGGUAAGAUGGCUCCACAGUCGCAUCCCCUGCGACAUGAGCAGCUCCAGCCGGGACGCCAUUGAUUCUCACUCUGGCUAGCUAGGUAGGCAAAGGGCAGCUUGAUAGUUGGCCAGCAGUGUGCCAAGAGGAGGUUGAUGUAUGUGUGAUGACUGUCUCCAAACAAGCCGCUUGUGUGGGUACUUAUAUAUCCCAUCCCAGCUUAGCUAUUGCUCUCCCAGUGAAGUGAACUAGCAACACGUGCGUUCAUCGAGUCAAAACAACGAGUGAAGAAGAAAUCAAUGGGCAGGAAAACUGAGGAACGCGGCCGUUCAAAUCAAACCAGCACGCGAAGACGACGACUGUACUAGUAGUUCAGUGUUCAGACCACACCAGUCAAAGAAUAGAAUGAAUACUGCACUUCAGAAAAAGAAUGUGGAUGUGGCGCUGGUCGGAGAAGUACCAUGCAUGUGGCAAGAGUUUUGUUUAUUGGGGUGGUGACCAUGCAGAUUGGGACGGAUAUCAGACGUUUUCAGAGUUGCUAGCUAUACAUACUGCUCAGUCCAUAGGAUUUUUAUAACAAUAUAUCUGCCGUACGUGCGUGCUUAACCUACCGGAUUCAUAUUUUGAGUCUCGUGUUUCUGGCAAAAACAUAACUGCAAUGACGGCGGCGGUCGGAGUGGCAAACUGCAAUGACCAGUCAACGGCGGAGGGGGGGCAGGAAGAGGCGACUAGUCAACACUGUGCAUUCGGUUUAUAUCUUUUGAUUUAUACGAUUUUUUAUUUGUACGGUAUUUGAUACUUCGGUAAAUACAAUAUUGACAUUAAAGCACGGUUCGGUUUCGGUAUGUUAUAAAAUUAUUUUUUAUAGCUUUGUGAGGUUUUUUAACAUGCUGCCUUUUACCUCCCCUUUUCACAUGAAAGGUACGAGUAUAAAAUAGAUUUGAGUUGUUAAUUACACUAAGUAGUGGGUUUGAUUAACUCUUACCUUAUUACCAUAAUAACCAAAUUGACGUGAAUUUAAAAUUGCAUAAGUCCAUGCAAUGUGAUGAUCCAAAAAUCAAAGUUGUUCGCCUCGAUGAGACACAAUUUGAUGAUGAGGUUACUCUCAUGAAAUCCGGCAAAUUAUGCUCCCAGUUCCUCCCCGUUUUACCGCAGAAUCAACUCCAAAUAACAUGAAAAGUCCACGGGAGAUAUAAUAAUCCACCUAAAAAACAAAGAACAAUAAUCUAAAUGGUAAUUGUUACGAAGAUAAGCCGAGACAAAUCUCAAGAAUAACAUGGUUAAACUCAAGAAAAAUGGUGUGUACACUACACACAUCAUCCACCGAUAGGCUAUCGUAGACGAUGCGCUACACAAGGGCUCAGAUGAGGUACACACUAAUGCGCUAUGCUCCAACGCAGUGCACACCACAGUGCUGAGCUCCAACAUGGUACACACUGCAUUCCAGUGCACUCGGACCGAGGAGCAGGUACACAUCAUUGUUGACCUUUCUUCUCCACUCUACUCCACGGACCCAGGAGUGGGUACCCUCUCUUUAUCAAAUGUAUAUGAAAUUUUAUAUGUUAGGGUUAGUGUUAAAAAAUGUUAUGCUUAGUGUCUAGAGGAUAUGAUUUUGUAGAUGAAAAUUUGUAUGUUAGGGUUACCAUUGCAAAAAAAUUGGGGUUAGUGUCUAAAGGAUGUGAUCUUGUAGAUGAAACUUUGCAUGUUCGGCUUAGUGUUUAUAGGAUGUUAGAGUUUGUGUUACUAGAUAGUACGCAUAUAUGUAAGAAAUGGUUUUCUUGUGGUAUUUUAGGAAUAUUUCUCACAAAUCGUUGAUGGAUAUGGAGUUUCAUGGUUUUCUCCAAGUUGUGAGUCAUCCCACGAAUGCAUCACGGGCGAAUGUUCUUUCUCAAUGAGUACUACCCACAAAGAACCUAUAUGAGCUACAUGUUUGAUAGGGUUUUAGGUUUGAUACGAUUUGUAACAGACAAAACCAACACAAGACGCAAAAAGAGGCAACGUUCAAUAACUUGCACCUCCCUUUGAGAAAAAAAACUCUGAGUGAACGUGCACAUUUCUUGAUCAAUUCGAUUGGAGAAGUAUACGAAAUCAAUACUAUACAUGACAUGUUGCGUCGAUAGGAAAAUCAAUAUGACAACAAUAGUACAUAACUGCCGAUAUCUUUAUUCUAGCCCAUCAUAUCAGGAUCUUACAGGCUGUGUGGUUUUUGCAAAGACUUUCCCUUUUGCGAAGGAUGCCUGGGUUCAUGAAUCUGGUGCUCUAGGGUUGCUCCUGUAGCUAAGGAAGCUAAGACAGCUCCACAGACGCCAUUAAUUUACGGGGAGCAUCAUGAAUCUUGUGCGGAGGGUAGCUCUUGGAGCUGGUAAGCAUCUGGUUUCCGUGAACCUCGCCAUUGGGAGAAUGACUCUCUCGCAAAGGAUCUGAAAGUGCAGCGCCAAAGAGUAUGUUAGCGCGCUAAUAUGAUCAAUAGCAAGAAGAUGUGCGCAACACAUUCAUGCAAGCUGACAGAGUGACAGUAUAUAAUAUUUUUUUCUUUUUAUGAAAAGGAGGUUGAAAGCCCGGGCCUCAGCAUCAUUGCGUUUCUGACAGUACAUAAGUAGCAAGAAGAAGUGCGUAAUGCAUACAUGCAGGUUGACAGUAGAUAGUUGACUGCGUACCUGCAGGAGCGGGUGGAGGCUGCUGAGCGGCCGGAGUGUCCCGGGCUUGAGCACCAGCUGGAGAUGCCAGAGCAUCAUCCACAGUUGCUGGGUUGAGUAGCACCAGCUCGGAUGCCAUUGAUUCUCACUAGCAGCUAGCUAUGUUAAGGACAGCUUAAUUAGUCGAUGGAUCAGUAGACCGUACUUCUGUCCAGACUCCAGGAAGUUGAUUUGUGAUUAGUGUCUCCAAACAAGCCGCUUGUGUGGGUACUUGUAUGCCCAGCUUAGCUACCUCUCACAGUGAAGUGAACAUUAACCGUACCACGUGCAACGUGCGUUCAUCGAGUCAAAAUGACGAGUGAAGAAAUAAAUAAACACGGUAAACACGGCCGUUCACACCGCCACGCGAAGACCAAGACUAUACUUGAGCACCUCGGACCACACCCGUCAAAGAAUAGAAAGAACACCGUACUCAGACAAAAAAAAUGGCGUAGUGCGAAGAAGUACCAGGUGGACUUCUGUUCAUUGGAUGGCACUGGGGUGACCGUGCAGAUUAGGACGGAUAUCGUUUUCGUAGUUGUUAUUGCUCACUUCAUAAGAUUUUAUUUUAAAGUUCCGUAUGUCGUCCAAGCUGCGCUUACCUAUCGGAUUCAUAUUUUAAGUUUUGUGUUUGACGAGGGAGGCACAACAGAAAUGGUUGACCUUGUAAGAGUGGUUAAGUUCACAAGACGGAACAAUGCUUUCAAGAACAACUUUCACAAACCAUUUGUGACAACCCGUAUUUUUGAGUUAUUAAUUAAUUUUAGUAAAAUAAUAUGUGUCUACUAAUUGUUUUGGUUUUGCUAAACGCUAGUAUUUUGAUUGGGUGUUAACACAUGCAUGCAACAGAAAUUAGAGGAGUUAUCACGUUGGAGUUAAAAGAUGAUUUGUUUAUGCAUGCAUCGAUGCAUGCAUGCAUGCAUGAGUAGUACGUGGUGCAUGUAUUCUUUGGAAGAGAUUACGUGAUGCAUGUUCAGAUGCUUUGAACCAUGCCUCUAUGGCGUGAGAUAUUUUGUAGUAAGGGUCAAGGUGGCUUGUUACUACAGGAGCUAGUAAUGGCCUAGUCACCCAGGGUCAGUACGUGGACUUGUUGCAUGAUGUCCAGGUUGAAGGCUAGUAGCUUUUGGUCACUGGAAGGGAUGUCGGCCAGCUCCAUGAGUAUUUCAAGAGUCAAGAGGCAAAGGUCAAGAGCCACUGCAGCUGAGAUAUUUUCGUCGGCACCGCCGAUCAUCAGCUCCUACAAAUACCUGCAGCUCCUGCUAGUGAGGCAUACUGCAACACCAUCAACCAGUCGACCAACAUGGAGCACAAGAGAGCGAGGCCACUGAUAAACGUAGAGUGGUAGAAAGGUUGGCAGAGAGCUACGUGUAUGUCAGAAGAAUAUUAGUAUAUGUGCGUUCCUUAGAUUUUAUACAAAGAUGAUGGAGUUUCAUCUUUUGGCAGAAUAUUAUUCUGAAGGAGAAAUGAUAUUACCUGAAGCAAGUAGCUUCUUUGCUAAUCCCUACAUCCUGCUAGUAGUAGCUUUGCUACUCCUAUUUUAUAUCUUGUUGUUGUUUCAAUUGUGGUGCUUGUGCUGAUACUAGCACUAUACUCUUGUUGAUAUCAUCAUUGAUCUCGCUAUCGUGGAAGAGAUAUUCAUUUGGUUCUAUCUCUGCAUUUCUCGUGGUGCCAUUAGAUGAAUGGUAUGGCCUCCUGAUACCCGUUGUUAGCCAUGAUACUUCCAGAGAGAAGUGUGUGAUGAUAAGUGAGAAAUCAUCAUGAUUAGUUGGACUCACGCAGAGACGUGAGAUUGGAUAUCUCACCUUCAUAUGUCUAAUAUCUUUAUUCUUCACAUGAUAUAUCCUAUUUACAUUGGUGUCACGACCGCAAACGUAUUGUAUCGGUCACAGUUCAGGUAUGAGGCUGUCUGAGUUCUCCGCUGGGAGCGACACUUGUUCCGAACAGGGUAUCGGUGAUGGAUCAUUGGGAAUGACCCAUACUAGUAAGUCAAGUUGUCGUGCCUCAGGGGACCAAAGGGCUCUGCUCUUCUGGAACCCACGUGGUUCUGGUCGAGGCUGUCGAUAUCGGAGUACCCCUCUUAAGAGUGUAAAAGUGUGAAUAUUCACCCAUGUGAGUCCCGGGUUGCAAACCUUGCUGGUCACAUGUGAUACCGAUACAUAUACCCAUUCACCAUCUUUAAAUUAAUACAUUUCUUGGGUGAAUGAUCUAUUCCUUUAAAUCUAGUUUCACUGGUAUUUGGUUUAUCUAUUCCAUCCCAUUGAUACCUUGGUUAAUUCAUUUAAAUACAUUCAAGCCUUAUUACUGUAUUUAUAUUCUUCUUGUCAUUUUGUUAUAUUAGUAAAGUACAUGCUUGCUGAGUAUGACUUGUCGUACUCACCAUUGCUUCCUCUGUUUUUUAGAUGCAGACGAUGCAACUUAAGUAUGCCCAAAAGAUGUCAUCCAAGAUUAGGUUGGACCAGCGGGUGGGAAACGACUAGAGAACUUAAUGUAUUUUGGCUAUUUGUAAAUGUAAAGGAAUUUGUAUAGUCAAUAUAUGUGUCUUUGUGGUCCACUGCUGGUUUAUGCCUGCUUUAUCACGCCUUGCUUGACUAUAGGCCUCUGGUCUAUAGGCGCGCGGCGGCUAUCUCGCCUAGGUCCAGUCUCGGGGCGUGACACCUUUUAAUAAAGGAAAGCAUAAGUUCCCCAUGUAUAUCUUUGUCAUUAAAAACUAGGUCAUUUCUACAUAACCAAAGCAACCAUAAUAAGACAUACGCUCUCAUCUUUAUUAGUGUUUUGAACCUAUAUAAGGAAUACCGUCCAACAAUGACUAAAAAUAUUGGCAACACCUGUGGACUAUACAUAUUAGACGCUAUUUGGAUGAUUGCCCACAUAGAAUACGCAAACUUGCACUGGAAAAAGAUGUGUCUGAUUGUUUCGUCAUAAGUUCAAAAGCAACACUUCUUGCUUCCUUGCCAGUUGCGACGGGCAAGCAUAUCUUUGGUUAGCACCACUCCCCUCCAAAGAUACACCUUGAAGAUCUUAACUUUUAGUGAAAUCUGACUUUCAAUUUUUUGUUAUUAUCCACCAGGACCUUUGAAUGUGUUAGCGCACGGUACAUAGAGUCGACUGUGAAGGACCCAGAUGUAGUGAAGUUCCAGUGGAACACAUCUCAUCCUUGUGUUAAGUUAAUCGCAUCCAUCUGGACAAAAUAAGUUGCCAUGAGACAAGCGAGGGCCAAUCAAAUCAUGCCUAAAAGAAAUAUGCGGUGGAAAAAACUGAGCACCUACACUAGAGUUUCAUUCUUAUCGCGAACAACACGAUAUAAAGGUGGAUAUUGAUCUCGGAGAAUGGCAUUGCCUAGCCAGUUGUCCUCCCAGAAACGAAUCUCAGACCCAUCUUUAAUCGCGAAGGAUCCAAAGCGGAAAAGAUGUUUCUUUGCCGCCUUUAGACCUGCCCAAAAGGUGAAUCACCAGGUUUCCAGUAGGCCUGAGACAUGACUUUUUGGCAUAGAUACUUGUUGUGCGGCUGGUUUUGCCAAACGUCAUUUGCGGUAAGAAGUCUAAACAACCAUUUACUAAGUAAGGCAUCAUUCUAAACCUGCAGGUCAUGAAUGCCAAGACCAUUUUGCUAGUCUGUAUUUUUUUCAUUGUUUCCUUCCCAAAAGAAUCUGGAUCUGAAAUAAUCCAACCUUUGCAAGACCCUCUUGGGAGUUGGGAAAAAGAAAGCAUAUGGAGAACUAUAUUUAUGAGAACCGAGUUGAUCAAUACCACCCGUCCUCCAACAGAGAGCAACUUGCCUUUCCAGCUGCUCAAUCAUUUCUCUAAACACUCUGCAUUAGUGAGACGGCGAUAAUGAAUAGGAAUUCCCAAAUAUUUGAUCAGGAAUUGGUCUUGCACACAACUAAACUCUUCUCUUUUGCAGGUUAUUUUUGUUGUACACAAUCGCUUCGUAGGUCGUCUCUGCUUCACUAUACGAAGUUUCAACCGUUGUUCAAGACGGUGUGUACACAAUUAGAGCGGGUGGCCAUGGAGGUUUUUCCCCAACCUGAGUGGCAGUAUAACCUCCGUAUAGACCCAUCACCUCCUUCGACAUAGGCAUAGUGAAGGUCCUAUUUGACUCUACCGGUGCCGAUAUGCCAGCUUUUAUCUUUUUUUAGACCAUUUGUGUUUGGCUAUGUGCAUCCAAGGUAUGCAGAGGACGGGUGUUACUCAUCAUGAUUUGUAUCCUCUUGAUGCUACUUUAUGAAUUAAUAAAAACACCCGUUAUCGAAAAAGUUCCCCAUGUAUGUCGAAGCCCCCGGACUAUAUACCCUUUACUUAAAAAAACUGUGCAUGUUUAAAUAAGGAUUUUUUUUAGGUUUCAAUUAGUUUUCAAAUAAUUUAAGCCGAGCUAUGACAUAAAUCUGAGUGAAACUCGAAGUAGUAGGAAAUACAUUGAAACUAUGCAAAAAUCUAUAUGAAGUGCUAAAAAACAUAGCAAAACUCACUGAAAGUGAUAUCAGACAUACAUAGCUCGAGUGGAACUUGAACCAGUAUGAAAUGCAAAGACAUAUCAAACCUUCAUUGAAAGCCAUAAUUAAGAAACUUGCAUUGACAGAAAAAAGGUUUCAAAAAGUUCCAUAAAAUAUUCCAUUCGAGUAUCAAGAUCUGAAAAUUUUAAGUUCCAAAAAUCAUGGAAACAAGUAGCAAAACUACAGGAAACCAUGGAACCACAACAGGGUCACUAAAAGGUACGUAAAGCGUCACAUCAAUACAAAAUUUGUUUAGAAAGUUUCAUCAUCGUUCAUUCUAGUAUCAAAAUAUGACAAUUUUAGAUUGAUCAUAUUCCACUCUGCUCUUAUUUAAAAUAUCCUAUCUAGACAAAGACAAUUGUGAAAAGGCUGUAAAUUGGCGAUUCAAGCUAUAUGGUCAUCUUCUAAGUUUGGAAAAAUAUAUUAAAUGAAGGGAUGAAUGGAUGGGAGGAAGAAAGUUAGACUGCGUGUUGAUUUCAAAAAGCACUGUGCUUGGACAUUCUGUUCAAAAAAUAAUUAUAUGCAUGGACUAAUGGAUGGGAGGGAGAGAGGUGGAUUACAGGUUGAUCUAUAAAUCCCAUCAUUCUAAAUGUGAAAAUGUAUGAGAAAGGAUCACAUGAAUCUCGAAGUGUUUGGAACCCUUAGAUAGUCCUUGGAGGCUUGGACUUUCUCACACAUGUGGGAAACCCACUUGACCUUCUAAGCCUCCUUUUCUUAUUAGUAAGAUCCUUUGGACAACCAACACCUUUGGCAUCUACACGACACACUCUUCAAUAUCCAAUUCGAGGGGUUGAUUUGCACCAAUUUCAAGAUCUUAGUAUACCAUGUCUCAACUUAAAAAAAUAACAUGUCUCGAGUCCCGUGAGCCGCAAGUUCUUUGCUGCCCUUUUUUGACCAGCUUUGGUGCACGAAUCAGCUCACACGGUAUGGAUGUUGAAUUACUAUUUUAUCCCCCUUUGUGUGAGGCAGCUUGAAAUCGUGAACACAUCUCUUCAUCCAAUGUCAUGUAGCCCACAACAUCUAUGAGGCGAUCACCGGUUAGCCAUGGCGUCUUGCCUUCCCGCCAAAAUUGUCUGCGUUGGCAUUCAUGGGUAAAGUGUAGGAUUUCGUGGCAUGGAAGACGUGUCCCCUGCCCUCGUCAUAUUGUGGGUGAUCUUGUUGAAGUGGAGCUGCCCCGUCUUGAAGAGGCAGAUCUCGCCAGUUGAUACGUCCAUUUUGCAUCAUGUUUUUCUACUAUUAUUUAUAAUAUUUUUAUGCAUAAUAAUGCUUUAUGGAGUAAUUCUAAUGACUUUUCUUUCACAAUAUGCAAGGUUUACACAAAGAGGGAGAAUGCCGGUAGUUGGAAUACUAGACCUGGAAAAAACUACGUCAGAGUUACCUAUUCUGCACAUCUCCAAAUGAGUUGAAAAUUUACGGAGAAUUAUUUUGCAAUAUAUGAAAAAUAUUGGAGCAAAUAACUACCGGAGGGGGCCCACCAGGUGGGCACAAUCCAUCUGGGUGUGCCAGGGAGCCCAAGCGCGCCCUGGUGGGUUGUGCCCUCCUCGGCCCACCUCCGGUGCCCAUCUUCUGGCAUAUAGGUCAUUUUGACCUAUAAAAAAUGAGGAGAUGACUUUCAGGACAAAGAGCCGCCGUCUCGAGGCGGAACUUGGGCAGGAGCACUUUUGCCCUCCGGCGGAGCGAUUCCGCCGAGGGAACUUCCCUCCCGGAGGGGAAAAUCAUCGUCAUUGUCAUCACCAACAACUCUCCCAUCUUUGGGAGGGCAAUCUCCAUCAACAUCUUCAACAGCACCAUCUCCUCUCAAACCCUAGUUCAUCUCUUGUGUUCAAUCUUUGUACCGGAAGCUUAGAUUGGUGCUUGUGGGUGACUAGUAGUGUUGAUUACAUCUUGUAGUUGAUUACUAUAUAUUUUAUUUGGUGGAAGAUUAUAUGUUCAGAUCCAUUAUGUUAUUUAAUACCCCUAUGAUCUUGAGCAUGAUUAUCAUUUGUGAGUAGUUAUUUUUGUUCUUGAGCUCAAGGGAGAAAUCUUGUCCCAAGUAAUCAUGUGAACUUGAUAUGUGUUCGAUAUUUUAAUGAUAUGUAUGUUGUGAUUCCCUUAGUGGUGUCAUGUGAACGUCGACUACAUGGCACUUCACCUUAUUAGGGCCUAAGGGAAUGCAUUAUGGAGUAGUUAUUAGAUGAUAGGUUGCUAGAGUGACAGAAGCUUAAACCCUAGUUUAUGCGCUACUUCGUAAGGGACCGAUUUGUAUCCAAAAGUUUAAUGUUAUGGUUAGAUUUUAUCUUAAUACUUUUCUCGUAGUUACGGAUGCUUGCGAGGGGGUUAAUAAUAAGUAGGAGGUUUGUUCAAAUAAGAACAACACCUAAGGACAGGUCCACCCACAUAUCAAAUUAACAAAGUAGCGAACAUGAAUCAAACAAACAUGAUGAAAGUGACUAGAUGAAAUUCCCGUGUACCCUCAAGGACGCUUUGCUAUUAUAAGAGACCGUUUUGGCCUGUCCUUUGCCACAAAAGGAUUGGACUACCUUGCUGCACUUUAUUUACCGUUGCCGUUACUUGCUCGUUACAAAUUAUCUUGCUAUCAAACAACUCGUUACCGACAAUUUCAGUGCUUGCAGAGAUAACCUUGCUGAAAACCACUUGUCAUUUCCUUCUGCUCCUCGUUGGGUUCGACACUCUUACUUAUUGAAAGGACUACGAUUGAUCCCCUAUACUUGUGGGCCAUCACUAGUCCAUAGCAUCGUUGCUUGCAUUGUUCACUAAGUCCAUUAAUGGAGGGUGUGGGGGUGGCAAAUCUUGAGAUUCUAGCAAGAAGGCAAAAUAUAGGCUUGGACCCCAUUGACAUGGAUUUUUGUGCGGCCGCCUGCCUCCCAAAAAUUCAUCAAGGGGGUCCACUUAUAGUCUAUUCAUCAUCUUUCUAGUACUUAUGUCCACGCGCAUAUGUGGUCGUCAUGUGGUAAACAUUGUAAUACCAACGGUUAGCCAAUUACUAGUGAAAAACCCAACACAUGUAACAUAUUGUUGGGCAUUAUUCUAUAGUAGUGAAACUAUUUUGUUUUCUCAUGAAAAAUGAAACUGUAACAUGCACUCUCAUUAAAUAAGGCGCAUCGAGUCCUGCUACUAGUAUUCUUAGCUGAUCGUCGUGUUCCUAGAUGAUUCAUUAUCCGAUGACGACGAUAUCAUGUACAUUGUCAUAGAGCUGCCCUGAUCUCCCAACGUCCCAAUGGUCAACACCAGUUGUCGAGGGUUUUACGUGGAAUGUUCAGUUGAGGGGACGUAACAUGAGGAGACCAGGGGGUCUUAAGCACAUAACACAAAGAUGCAUGAUACACUCACUUCUUCGCAAAAUAUAAUUAAGGUGUAUUGGUUUUUUCAAAAUUCAAAAAUUAGGAAAAAUAUCAGUAUCUACAAUACCAAAUUAGUAUCAUUAGAUCCAUCAAGAAAAUAUUUUUCAUAUUUUAUUUAUUUUGUAUUGUAUAUGUUGAUAUUUUAUUGUAUAAUCUUGGUAAAGCAUACACAAGUUUGACUUGCAUGAAAACUGAUGCACCUUAUAUUCUGGAACGGAGGGUGUACCUAGGUUCAACCCCCAAUGCCGGUAAAUCCCUACUUUCUACCUUGAUCUUUCCUUGUAUAUAUGCAGAUUAUCGAGAGUUAUGCAUGGCAAGGGACUCGGCGAGUUCUAAUGAUGAUGGAGAUUCAGGCGUGAAGCGCCAGAAUCCUCCUACACGAUGUAGGCUAAAUCUAUGGAGAGGGAGAGCUCCCCUUCUAGGAUGCCACAGUAUCCCUUAUACCUCACAAGUUAUGGAAGGCUCCAUGUCGGUGCAAUAUGGGGAAUGCAAGAGUGGAGUCAGACACGACGUAGGUAUACACCACAUUUGACCCUUCCUUACGUUAUGUAUAGUGUUUCUGAGUUCCCUUGAUGUUGUACGUUCGCAAGACUACUCCUGUAGCGGUGACACUUCUCCUGAUGUUGGUGCGGUAUCUUUGGGCCUUUGGGAUAUAUAUAUGGGGUCGAAGUAGUUUUUUUUUUCAAAUGAGCGAAGGAGGGUUGCCUACUCCUCCCUGUCUUAUGGGAGAUAUUUUUGGAGUGGAACCUUCAUGUGUUCAAGAACCAAAUCUUGCUAGUCCAUAGCAUCGUCACUCUCAUGGUGGCGCAAGACAAUAAGCAUAAACAUGAUACUUGAUCAACCCAAUGAUACUUAGUCAUAUCCAAUAAUUGUACAUCAAUUCAUGGUGUUCAUACAUCUAAAAUUCCAACACACGGUAAAUCACUUGGGUAAUACUCCACUGUGAUGCAGAAUACCCAUGCAACACGAAAAUAAUAAAUAUCAAGCUACCGAGAACUGCAAUAAAAAAUUGGACAUAUUGUUGAGAGUAAAUCUAUUCCACAAAACAAUACCGAGAUAGCUAGAAAACUCCCUUUUUAUCCUCAUGAGACGAACCAAGAAAGUAUACCAAUGGGUACAAGUUCUUUAAUCUUCUCUAUCACCAGGCUAAUACACAUUGUUCUCUCUCUUUUUUCUUUCUUGCGAAAACUAUGUUCUCGUUAUUAUCCCCUCACUGCAACUUAUCCAUAAUUAGACUAGUACAGCGCAGAUCCAAUAGACAUCCACAAACUAAUCGUACAGUCAAAAUGAACAACAAUAUAUGAAAUUUCCCUAAAAGCAAUAUAUGAAAUUAUUCAACUGAUGACAAAACAUCCACUACAAAAACCACUUAGAUAAUCAUACUCAUAUGAUGAAGCUCACAUAAUGAAUACAUAUAAAACACGCAAAAGGAGAUCUCUACAUAUCUAUCUAGUACUACAAACCCAUAGUCCAGGAGGUGGGACCACUCGAAGCUCAUCGGGAACAAGAUGGUGAUGUUAUUGCUAAAGUUUGGCGAUGAAUUCCUCCUUUGGCGGGAUGCUGGAGAAACAAUAGGUAUUCUCUAAAAAAAAUCUAAAGGUGAUGUCCGAAGAAACCCUACGGGAGGCUCGCGCACCCAAGUGAUGGGUGCGCCACAAUGGUGCGCGGGCCCUUGGUGGGUACCAUCGGGAUGCCGGCCUUCAUGAUUCUUCAUGAAAGGAGUAAUUGCUGACAGGAUCAUAAAUUUUGCGUCGAGGGAAACUGGUGGAACUGCCAAGCUUCGGCUUGGCGGCCAGAUCGGGCACAAGUGCACCAUCGUGUCCUAUGUGUUUGGGACUUGGGAGGUGGUCAAGAUCUGAAACUGCAACGCCACAGAUUAUUAUCACGAGAUUGGGAGGCAAAAAGAUGUGUGUAAUGCAUGCAUGCUGAGAGUUGAUAAUAGUCGCUGAGUGCAUACCUGCAGGAGCGGGUGGAGGCUGCUGAACGGCGGGAGUGUCCCCGGCUUUAUCGGCUGGAUGACCACCGGUGGGAUCAUGAAUCUUGUGCGGAGGGUCGCUCCUGGUACUGCUAAGAGAAGAGUUAAGAAUAGGAUAGCUCCACGGUCGCCUCCCCUGCGACACGAGUAGCUUCAGCUGAGAGCGCAUAGAUGCCGCCAUUAGUUCUCUUCUCGCUAGCUAGCUAGCUAGGCAAAGAGGAGCUUGAUUAGUCGAUCAGUAGUGUACGUACGUGGUUCUGUCAAGAGGAGCUUGAUGUGUGAUGACUGCCUCCAAACUGCGGGUUCUUGUGUGGAUACUUAUAAUGUCCAACUCUCACCGAGAACUACGUCCGUUUAAUUGUCGAGUGAAAAUGACGAAUAAAUAAAAUAGUUUAAGACAGAGAAAUGAAGGAGAGGAAUACGCGGCCGUUCAAACCACCGUGUGAGAAAACGAAGACUCUUCUUCAGACCACACCGGUCAAAGAAUAAAAAUACGACCGUAUAUAUGUACUUCAGACAAAAAUUGUGGCCCGAGCCGGAGAGCCGGAGAGAUACCACGUAGAUCGGGAGUGGGACGGAUCUCGUUUUCAGAGUUUCUAGCUAUUGCUCGCUCCGUAACAUUUUUCAAAGUCUCGGUCGUGCCAGCUAGCUUAACCUACCGGAUAUAUAUUCAGGUUUUGACUUUCCGGUAAAACAAAACAAAAACUGCAAUGACGAGUUCAGGAACCGAGACGCGGAGGAGAAAAAGUGGACCUCGUUCGAGUGGUUAAGUUCAUACGACGCGGAGCGUUGGUCAUUUACAUGAGUAUCAUGAAAGAAAAUGGGGUUUAACUCAUGGUUUUACCCCUAAUUUAAGUGGCAAUUCAAGUUUUGGUGCCUGGUUUUUUUAGCCAAAACAAAAAACUCUGGAUUAUAUUGAAGGUUCAUCCAUAGUAGAAAGGACACCAGCAGUACAUAAAAUUACAACUACGUCCUCAGACCACACGAGGGUAAUUCUGCAUCUUGGCUAAGGGCAAGUUUCAAGGAUGGUGAUGUGUCACUAGUAGAAAAAGGACCUAAUGUGAGACACAUUAGUCCCGGUUUGAUUUUGGCCCGAUACUAAUGGUACCAUUAGUGCCGGUUCGAACGGCUAUCCAUUAAUGCCGGUUCGUGUUGAACAUUUAGUACCGGUUCGUGCCACGAACCGGUACUAAAGGGGUGGUGGCAGGCUGGCGUCAGGCCGGGGCCCCACGAUCACCUUUAGUACCGGUUCGUGGCACAAACCGGUACUAAAGGGCUAACCUUUAGUACCGGUUCGUUCCAUGAACCGGGACUAAAGGGGUCUGACCUAUAGUCCCGGUUGUAGACACAAACCNNNNNNNNNNNNNNNNNNNNNNNNNNNNNNNNNNNNNNNNNNNNNNNNNNNNNNNNNNNNNNNNNNNNNNNNNNNNNNNNNNNNNNNNNNNNNNNNNNNNNNNNNNNNNNNNNNNNNNNNNNNNNNNNNNNNNNNNNNNNNNNNNNNNNNNNNNNNNNNNNNNNNNNNNNNNNNNNNNNNNNNNNNNNNNNNNNNNNNNNNNNNNNNNNNNNNNNNNNNNNNNNNNNNNNNNNNNNNNNNNNNNNNNNNNNNNNNNNNNNNNNNNNNNNNNNNNNNNNNNNNNNNNNNNNNNNNNNNNNNNNNNNNNNNNNNNNNNNNNNNNNNNNNNNNNNNNNNNNNNNNNNNNNNNNNNNNNNNNNNGCCAUUUCAGUUUUGAAAAAAUCAAAAGAAAAUGAUACAAACUUCAAAAAAUAAAAUCCUUCAAGAGGUAGUUAUAUUACUACAUCUACUAGUUAGGAAAAUUUGAAAACUUCAAUUUGGACAUGUUUUGCAAAAAAGUGUAGGGAAAAUGUAAAACGGCUAUAACUUUUGCAUACGAUGUCAAAAGAAAACGUAUAAUAUAUCAAAAAAUUCAGCACGAAAAUCCGCAUACGAUUUUGACCGCCUAUGGCCUGUUUGCAAUUUUUUAGAAUCCUCAAAUUCCAAAAGGAAAAAAAGAUAUGCUCAAAUUUCAGUUUUUUUGGUUAAAUCUGGUCAAACUACUUAUUCAAGAAGUAUUAAUGUUACUACAUAAUUAUUCAAGAAUAUUAGUGUUACUAAAUAAAUAUUUCAAUUUUUUGAAUUUUGGUCAAAUCUGGUCAAACUAUGGUCAAACUGUGGUCAAACUUAUUCAAAAAAUAUUAGUGUUACUAAAUAAUUACUGUUUUUUAGAAUAAUAGUUUCAAACUCAAACGGUGAAACGUGUGACCUAAUGCUCAAGCUAAACUGCUGAGGGUUAAUAGGAUUGUCAGCUUACAUUUGUCAGGAAAACAACAAGUGCAGACUUGAAAAGUAGAGGGAAUAGAACUCCAAAGUUAAGCGUGCUCAGGCUGGGGGAGUGAGAGGAUGGGUGACCGGCCGGGAAGUUAGACGAUUUGGAAUGAGUGAUCCACACUUGAGUAGUUAAGAGGGGUGAUUAGAGACUAAAUCAUCAAAUAAUUUAGAAAAUUGAAAAAAAAUUCAAAUUUUUUUCCCAAAAAUUUCAAAAAAAAAACCUUUAGUACCGGUUGGUGUAAGGUCCCCCAUACCACAGCGCGAGCUCACGCCACGUGGUGGGCCUUUAGUGACGGUUCGUGCCGAACUGGUACUAAAGGGGGGGCUUUAGUCUCCACUCUUUAGUGCCGGUUGCAGAACCGGCACUAAAGGCCCUUACGAACCGGUGAUAAAGCUUCGUUUUCUACUAGUGUGUAUAUAAGGCUCAGAGCAGUCUGGAGCGCGUCAUGACAUGGAUCAUGCAAACACAUGGCGUCAAACAAUGCAGAUGUGCAGACGGACAAGACGCAGGGUGGAGCAUGGUUGCAGUCGAAUAAUUUCGGCUGUGUGGGACUAGACAGUCUGAUGGAUCGAGAUGGAUGUUGGUCAGAGUAGAAGAUGACGGUGAUUUCAGCGACGAUGACAUAAGAGCGUGAUGCUGGUGGUGACCGACUUCUGGGGCGUGGAAACAUGUGGUACAAGCUUGAGGGCUUGUGCGGCUUCGACAAGACUAUGACGCAGGGUUGAUUCAAGGCAGUGUGCACACGAGAGAGCUUGAAGUCGACGGGGCGCGGGGUAGCAUGGCCGGCUACAUGGAGUCAUGUUGAAGUUGGAGCUAGAGUCUAGCGAAAGACUUCACUCUGUGCUGCUAGAGGGGCUACGAUGUAAGAUGCCGGAGAAUCGAAGCCUAUUUCAAUGGGAUGGCGAGGGACACAUGGCUCGAACUAGGGCACGGUGGUCUGAUGGAGACGUGAUACUCGGCAUCGGUUGGUGAUGAUCGGUGGUUCUCUGCAGUGGGGGUUGAGUGGUGCGGGUUCACGACUCUGGAGACUUGAUCAACCAAGACAGUAGAGGGUCAAGGCAGUGAUAGCGGCAAGGUGUGCGGUGAGCACGGGACACAUCGAUAGUACAAGGCACUGGUGGUCAAACAAAGUGUGCAGAUGGUGCUGAAGCAGUGUUGACAAGUACCAGAUUCAAGUUGGUGACUGUGUCUAUCGGUGCUAGUUAGUGGACGGGAGUUGACCAUGGGGAAUCUAACAAAGUGACAGGAAAGUCUGAAAUUAUCAAAAGUUGAGAGUGUGCAUGGCUGUAUAUUCUGUGAUAUUCUGUGCAUAUGACAAAGUGCGGAUGACAAGAGAGAAGGAGGCGGAGUGCUAUAGCGUGGGACAUGUCAAAGACUAUUCGGAAAAGGGUGAGACAACUACGAAUUUAACUCGGGGUGACACGGGGCAACAGUGAAAUUCCUUCAAGUUUCAGACAGACAGUCAAGAACGGGCGAGGAUCAUGAGUUCAGGUAACUCUUAUAUGCAUCCAAUAUGUGAGUUUUUCAUUUUCACGCAGAUAGCGGACGAUGUAUGAUGGCGUUGAACGGAUACUCCGGAAGUCGGGAGCGCAAACUCGAGUAAAAGAGUAACUUAAUUUUGCUUAAGAGUUGACCGUGAAGAAGACGAAAAGAAACUACAAUUGCAGGUGGAGUCACAUGGAGUCUGGGAGUAGUAGCGAUGCUCAUGGUUAUAAUCUCAAGUCCAAUGUACAUGAAGCUUCGACGCAUGGAUGAAUCUGAGGUGAAGGAGAAUAUUCGUCAAGGUGGAGUUUGUUAGAAUUAUGUCGAAUAUAUUUGUACAAGCUAGGUUACAAUUGGACUUAAAUUUAAACUUUGUGUAAACAGGGUAGGAGUCGUGCCCGACACCUAUAUCCUAGGCCUUUUAUAUAUUAAGGGGUAGACACACGAUGUGACCGAAGCCAACAUAAUGGCACAGGCCCGCAGGGAAGCCGGCGGCGUGUGCUGGCGGCCGGAUGGCCAAGUUGCAGUAUUGUGACAGUGUCACGGGGAGGAGCUCCCGUAGCUAGUCCCCGGGUUGUAGCCAUAUCAAUGAACAUUGUUAACAAAUCUCAUUGUCGUGCUCGUGUGAUUGCUUGGUUCUCGGUAGAUAGACUGUACGCCUCAGAUUAGUUCUAACACAUGAUCGUUCCUCCAACUGAGAGGCUGAUUUAGAGAGGACAUAUAUGAGUUUUUUUUUUUGUGAUAAAGAAGAACAUAUAUAUGAGUAAAUACAGGCUUGAUACGAGCAUGUAACAGACAACCAACACAGGAUGCAAAGCGGCAAAGUUCAAUAGCCAACUUACACCUCCCUUUCAAAAUAAAAUUCUGAACUGCACAUUUCUUGAUCAAUUGAUGGGAGCAUACUAUGACAUGUUGCGUCAAAGACAAAACUGUACACAAUGUCGAUCUUGAUUCUAGCUGCUCAGCUUGUCAGGAUCUUACAGGCGGCUGCGCGUCAAAGAAUCCUCUCUAAACUGCAAGGCUCUCGUUUUGUCUGCCUCGUGAGCACUCCCGGAGUUUGCCCUGUUUCUAGGGGGGGUCACGAAUCCGGUGCUUAGGCUGGCUUCUGGAGCUGGCAAGAGCAACGGAGGAUGAAGAGGUAAGGUAGCUCCACAGUCGCCUCCCCUGCGACAUGAGUAGCUCCAGUUUGGAAGCCAUUACUUUUCACUCUCGCUAUCCAGCUAGGCAAAGGGCAGUUUCGUGAUUAGGUGAAAAAAACUGAGUAUUACUGUCCCUUGACCAACCUGCUGUACCUUAGAUCUUUGAGCUCAUUUUAUCUCCCCUUCUCAGAAGCUUCGCAAACUUCUCCUUAGCCUCUCUUUUAGUCAUGUUGUUGGCCAUAUCAAGAGGAUGUAUUCAUCUAUCCUUUGAUGUCUAACUCGUUGAUGAGAUUGAGAAGCCUUUCUUUUUCCACUUCCUAAAUCUCACUCGCAUUUUUUAGUCCAACCCCGCAAGAAAUUUCUUAAAUGCCAGAUCUUAUAUUAACAUCUUUCCACAUUGGACCAAGAUAGCUAGAAACUCCCUUUUUAUCCUCAGUGAGACGAACCAAGAAAGUAUACCAACGGGUACAAGUUCUUUAAUGUUCCUGUCACCAGGCUAAUCGUUCCCCUCCAUCUAUUUCAUCUAAUACACAUUAUUCUCUCUUUUCUUUUGCGAAAACACUGUUCUCAUUAGUAACCCCUCACUGUAAUUUGUCCAUAAUUAGACUAGUAGAGCAGAUAUCAAAUAGACAUCCGCAAGCUAAUCUUACAGUCAAAAUGAACAACAAUGUAUGGAAUUUCCCUAAAAAAUAUAUAUGAAAUUAUUCAACUCAUGACAAAACAUCCACCACAAAAACCACCUAGAUAAUCAUACUCGUAUGUUGGAGCUGUAUGUUGGAGCUAGCUCACAUAAUGAACACAUAUAAAACACACAAAAGGAGAUUCUACAUAUCUAGUACUAUAAACCCAUAGCCCAUCAGCUGGGACCACUCGAACCUCAUUGGGAACAACAUGGUGGUGAUAUUGCUAAAAUUUGGCAAUGAAUUCCGCGUUCGGCAGAGGAUGCCGGAGAAUAAAGAAAUAUAAUGGUGUUUUACAAGCCUUCAGGAUUCUUCGUGAAAGGAUUAAUUGCCGCCGUCAGGAUCAUAAAUUUUGUGUCGUGGGAAACUGGUGGAACUGCCGAGCUUCAUGUUGCCGGCCAGAUCGGGCUCAAGUGCACCAUCAAGGCAUUCUAUGUGGUUAGAACUUGGGAGGUGCUCAAGAUCUGAAACUGCAACACCACGGAUUAUUAUCACACCGCCGUUCGGGGGACAUCAUUAGCCAAAAGAUGUGCAUGAUGUAUGCAUGCAUGGGGAGAGUAGAUAAGUAUUGCCUCUGUAUCAAAAUAUAAGACGUUUUGGUAGUCUAUUUUAGCCUACAAAAACGUCUUAUAUUUGUGAUCGAAGGGAGUAGUGGCUGAGUGCAUACCUGGAAGAGGGGGUGAAGGCUGCUGAACGGGGGGAGUGUGCCCGGCUUGAGCGUCUGGAGGAUGAUCACCGUCACCGGUAGGAUCAGGAAUCUGCUGCGGAGGGUCGCUCCUGGAACUGCUAAGAGAAGAGGGAAGAUAGCUCCACAGUCGCUUCAUGAGUGAGACCAGCUGGGAUGCCAUUGAUCCUCACUGAGUCACUAGCCAGCUAGGCAAAGGACAGCUUAAUUAGUUGAUCAGUAGUGUACGUACGUGGUUCUUGGUCAAGAGGAGCUUGAUGUGUGAUGAACUAAUGACUUCCUUCAAACUGCAGGUUCUUGUGUCGAUACUUAUAAUGUCCAAAUCUCACCGAGUACUGCGUGCGUUUAAUUGCCGAGUGAAAAGGAUGAAUAAAUAACUUAAUAAUUUAAGACAGAGAUGGAGAGGAAUACGCGGCCGUUCAAACCACCGUGUGAGAAAACGAAGACUCUGCUUCAGACCACACCCGUCAAAGAAUAAAAAGACGACCGCAUGUACUCCAGACAAAAAUUGUGGCCCUGGGCAGAGAGAUACCACACGUACAGUAGAUCGGGACGGAUCUCGUUUUCAGAGUUGCUAGCUAUUGCUCGGUCCAUAAAGAGUUUUCAAAGUCUCGGUCGUCCUAGCUACAGCUCUUAACCUACCGGAUAUAUUCAGAUUUUGACUUUCUGGUAAAACAAAAACUGCAAUGGCGCACUACUGGAAUUCACUUGUUUGCCGAGUGCUGAAAAAACUCGGCAAAGGCCCUAAAACACUCGGCAAUGGUUCUGCCGAGUGUUGUACUCGGCAAAGCGUACCCGGCUUAUACCCUUCCGGCAAACAGAUGUUUGCCGAGUUCCUUUCGUCGGGCACUCGGCUAUGUCUUUACCGAGUAUCAAAUCUGGUUCACGGCAAAAAAAAGCGACGGGACAGAACGGAACGAACGGGCGCUCUAUUUGCCGAGUUCUCUAGCAUGUGCACUCGGUAAAGCUUGUGAGCGUGAACAAAAAAAAAUGCCUCGCCGGACUGCAUGAGCGCGUCGCCGGCGAGCACAAAAUAGGCGUCAUCAUCAAUGGCGACAGUGAUUCAAGCCGGCGACCCUGUCCCAGCCGCCGCAUCGUGCCUCGCCGAGACGAGGAGGCUGCCGCCGCGCUUGGGUAGAAGCGGAGGCUGCCGCCGUGCUCGGGGAGAAGAGGAGGCCGCCGCCGUGCUCGGGGAGAAGAGGAGGCCGCCGCCGUGCUCGGGGAGAAGAGGAGGCCACCGCGCUUGGGGAGAAGAGGAGGCUGCCGCCGCGCUCAGGGAGAAGAGGAGGCCGCCGCCGUGCUUGGGGAGAAGAGGAGGUCGCCGCCGUGCUCAGGGAGAAGAGGAGGCCGCCGCGUUCGGGGAGAAGAGGACGCCACCACCGCUCGGGGAGAAAAAGAGGCCAACCGCGCUCAGGAAGGUGAGUUCGUCGCCGUCCUCCAUGGCGUCCGCUAACAGAGCUUGGAAGGAAGCUGGGGUCACCAGUCACGGGGAGGUCCCCGUCCUCCAUGGCGCGCACGAGGGAGGUCGUUGGCCGGUGGCCUGCAAGACGGCAGACAGCGGUGCUAGGCUGCUAGCUGAGGCGUGAGGUGCAUGCGUGAAGACAGAGGGGACAGAGAUGCGAUGAGGUUUGUGCGGCUGGAAUUGAGAGGAGAUAAGGCGAGUGCAUGCGGGGGGAGAGAGAGAGGAGUUUGGCCUAUCCCAUGACGCCACCAAGGUUUUGGUUACCGAAUGGGGCAAUUUUACCGAGGGGGGCGGAUAAAUGUGGUUACCACGGUUACCGAGAAAUACCGAGAAUAUUUUGAGCGAAUUUUAUAGUUGAAUUUUGAAUUCAAAUAAGUGAAUGAACGAAUAUUCAAACCAGAGACCUCUCAAAACAGGAACUAGGUUGCUACCAACAUGCCAGAACCAACUCUCAUGGUAUUAAUUAGAUCCUACGUACUUUACUGUAAAUCGAGUGUUUAAAUUCAAAAUUUUCAAAAAACUGGUAUUUUUUGCUCGGUAUGGCGAUUUAUCCAGGGGUACGGAAAUACGCGGUAACCAUGGGAAAUCUUGAAAUUUCGACCGGUAACCAAAACCUUGGACGCCACAUCACUGAUCUGUGUGCUAUGUGCUCAUUGGUAGAUUAUGUGCUUCUUUGCUAUGUUUUGAAUAUACUUUAAAUAUAGCAAACAACCACUGAAAAAUAUCAAAUUUUGUCACGGAUCGUGUAAUGAAGUAUAUUGAGUGUACAAAAAAUUUCAAGCCCAACGGAUGUGUAUAUUUAAUAUAUAGAAAAUUACAAAAUACACCUUUUUUUACACUUAGAAAAUAGAAAAUGAUAUUUUUAUACAAAAAGGUUGAAAACUCUAUUGGCAACAUUGUUUAUAAUGUCAAUAUACACCUAUGUGUCUAAUUUGGGCAUAUUAUAAUAAACUAUGUAAUGAAUAUAUCAUCACCUUGGUCAUUUCACUUGAAAGCCACGAACGUUCAUACACGAUAAGCCGUUUUGUGAAGAUUUUUUUUCAAAUUUGUCAUAUUGAUAGUUUGGUAUUUUUCCUUGCAACUAGAACAUGUAAAAGGACUCCACGCGAAAGGAUUACAUUUUUUGAACUUGUAUUCCUUUUCUUUCAUUUUUUCUAAAAUGGGGUCAAAAUGGCCGGCAUCUCUAUUCAUGGCAAGGGGUUGAAUCUAUCAAAACUCUAAGUGGUUAUCCCAUAUAAUGAUACUUGUCUACCUAAAAAUAAUUUUUUCCUAAUUUCACGAUAGAGCUAUCACAUACUUGUAGUUCAAAUUUGAAUUACUUUCAGAAAAUCGGCAUAAAGUCAAUUAAAUGUGCGAAAUUUGCUAGAAAACUAGAAAAUCCAUGAAAAUGGGGAACUGUGCAUAAAAUAUGGUCUACUUACUGUGAUAAUUGGGGUGGUGCCAUUUUGCACCCUGUUUUUUGUACUUGCUUCACAAAAAAAACCCAUUUUUUGACACUUCAAAAAUGAAAAUGAUUUUUUUUGUACAAAAAAGUUAGAAAGUCUAUUUGGAAACAUUGGUUGUAAUGUCAAGAUGCACCUAUGUGUCUAUUUUGGGAACAUUAAAAUAAACUAUGCAAUGAAUAUGCCCAUCACCUUGGUCCUUUGACUCGAAAGCCAUGAAUGUUCAUACACGAUAGUCCGAUUUGUGAACUUUUUUUUUUCAAAUUUGUUAUAUUUAAACUUUGUUGUUUUUCCUCGCAAUUAGUACACAUAAAAGGACUCAAUGCGAAAGGAUUGCAUUUUUAAACCUGUAUUCUUUUUCUUUCAUUUUUUCUAAAACCGGGUCAAAAUGGUUGACAUGACUAUUCAUCACAAGGAGUUGAAUGUCUCAAAACACUAAGUGGUUCUGCCAUAUAAUGACUACUCGUGUAUCUAAAAAUAUUUUUUGGUAAUUUUUAUGAUUGAGCUAUCACACACUUGCAGUUCAUAUUUGAAUUACUUUCGGGAAAAUUGACAUAAAGUCAUUUAAAUGUGCGAAAGUAUCUAGAAAACUAGAAAAUCCAUGAAACCGGGGAAUUGUGCAUAAAAUAUGGUCUACUUACUGUGAUAAUUGGAGUGGUACCAUUUUGCAUCCUAUUUUUUGUACUUGCUUCACAAUAAAUAACCAUUUUUAACACUUAGAAAAUGAAAAAUGAAUUUUUUGUACAAAAAAGUUGGAAACUCUAUUUGCCCACAUUGUUUCUAAUGUCAGUAUGCACCUAGGUGUCUAAUUUGGGAGCAUUAUAACAAACUAUGCAAUGAAUAUGGCCAUUGUCCUGGUAAUUUGACUUGGAAGCCAUCAAUGUUCAUACAUGAUAGCCCGUUUUGUGAAGAAUUUUGUUCCCAAUUUAUAGUAUUGAAAGUUUGGUAUUUUUCCUCGCAACUAGUACACAUAAAAGGACUCCAUGCAAAAUGAUUGCAUUUUUUUGAACUUGUAUUCAUUUUCUUUCAUUUUCUUCAAAAUGGGGUCAAAAUGGGCAGCAUGGCUAUUCAUUGCAAGGGCUUGAAUCUCUCAAAACUCUAAGUGGUUCUCCCAUAUAAUGCCUAUUUGUGUAUCUAAAAAUAUAUUUUUCUAACUUUUAGGACGGAGCUAUCACACACUUGUAGUUCAAAUUUGAAUUACAUUUGAGAAAUCAACAUAAAGUCAUUUAAAUGCGUGAAAGUAGCUAGAGAUCCAGAAAAUCCAUGAAACUUGGGCAUUGUUCAUAAAAUAAGGUCUACUUAUUGUGAAAAUUGAAGUGGUGCCAUUUUGCAGCCUGUUUUUUGUACUUGCUUCACAAAAACUACUCAUUGUUGACACUUAGAAAAUGGAAAAAAUAUUUUUUUUCAAAAAAUUAGGGAACUCUAUUUGGCAACAUUGUUUGUAAUGUCAAGACACACCUAUGUGUCUAAUUUGGGAACAUUAUAACAAACGAUGCAAUGAAUAUGAUCAUCGCCUAAGUCAUUUAAGACUAAAUUUUUACAUGGCAAAAAGUGCAAUUAAUAUGGUCUCAAAUGAAAAAGUUGUCAACAUCAAAGUUAUCCGUCUCGUGAAAAUGAACAACUUUUAUUUUUGGACCAUCUUCAUCCGAGGCCGUAUGCAAUCUGUACAGCCAAAACCAUUCGGCGUAGUGAAGACCUCCUUUUGCCGAGUGUGACACUCGGUAAAGACCCCCUUUUGCCGAGUGUAGCACUCGGUAAAGUCCUGUUUGCCGAGUUUUGUUGUUUUACCGAGCGUUUUUCCACGACACUCGGCAAAGUAUCUGUUUGCCGAGUUUCAUAUUUUUGCCGAGUGUAGCACUCGGUAAAGAUACUAUUGCCGAGUGCCCGACAUAAUGCACUCGGCAAAGGGCCUAACACUCGGCAAAGGGAAAAAUUCAAGUAGUGGCGAGUUCGUGAAUGGAGACGCGGAGCAGAAAGUGGGGACCUCGUCCGAGUGGUUAAGUUCAUAAGACGGAGUGUAGGUAAUUUACAUGAGUAUCAGAUGGAAAAAAUGGGGUUUAACUCAUGGUUUUACCCCUAUGUGGCAAUUCAAGUUUUGGUGCCUGGUUAAUUGUGUGUUCUAACGAUGGCAAUUCAAGUUUUGGUGCCUGGUUAAACUCCAAUUUGUCCGUUAUGUUGAGUACACACCUGACACCUCUGAAAGAUUUGUUUCCUGGUAUGUUUGAUCACUACUUUAGUGAUCGAAACGCUCUUAUAUUUCUUUACGGAGGGAGUAUUUGUCAAAGUCAGGAUUGUACCAUUGAUAAAUUUUGUCCGUUUAGACGUAGAUUGAUUGGUGCUAUGCCUGAGCAAUGGGCAGAAGUUGUUGCUCGGGCCAGGAACUUGCAGCUUACUGAUGACCCUUGCAAAUCUUGAUCGAACCUAUAUUUGCCUCUUGUGGGAAGGCUGGCUAGAGAUUUCUUGGAGGCCGUUAUCUAGAAAUCAAGUUUUCUCUACAAAAUCUAUGUACAGGUGGUUAGAACGAAACAUCACGGGACUGAAUAACAAACUGAAUUGGGAGGCUCCUGUACCGAUCAAGAUCAAAAACAUUAUGUGGCAAUCAUUCCAAAAUGCUAUUCUGAUAAGAGACAAUAUGAAGGAAAAAAAAACGGCAGUGGCCGGGUAAUUCCGCAUGCUCCUUUUUCCAUGAAGUGGAAACUGACAAUCAUCUUCUUCUUUUUUCUUUUGCCCUGUUGCACGUUCAGUUUGGGGGUGUUUGGGCUGGUUGUUUACUUCCCAGUUGACAGCCAGGAACAAAGUAACCUUUGUCCUUUGAUGCUCAUAUUCUUCGAACUCCGCUCGAGAUAGUGUACACUGUGUGUUCUUUUCUUAUGUACUGGACAAGGCUGCUGAAGAUCGAAGGCCGUGAGAACGUACAAGGUGCAAUACAGAGGGUGAUGCAGACUGCGGAAGUGCUUGCUGGCCAGAGCGUGGCACGAGGAAGCGUUCUUCGCAUUGCCGAUGCCUGAUGCUUGGUGGCUUCUCCUCACUCCUGGAACCUUGCACGCUGUAGUUUCCCUGAUCCUUGUUAUACUUUUGGAGUUUUGGUUUGUAUACCCCUGCGUGGGUUCUGUUAUGACGCUUUUGAGUUUAGAACUAGGGUAGAAGGUUUUUGCCCGGGUGUUUUGAUGGCGAGCACUCGCAGAGGGUUGUACUUCUAUUGCCCCAACUCGCUUUCCCCUUUCCUUGUCUCCUUAGUUUGCUUCUCAGUUGGCUAAUGUUAGAAAACAAUGUUGUUUCCGUUAAGCAAUUAUAAUGGAAAGGGGUUCAUCGGUUUUAAAAAAAAGCCGAACCGAACACGGGUGGGUGAAAGUUAAGAGCUUCACAUAGGCACAUCCAUCGGGCCAUCACCCACAUCACUGAUCCUCUUUUACCCAGGCUGAUUUACAGAGAACAUAUGUGAGUUACAGCCUUACAAGUUUGAUAUGAUAUUGAUCCGGUAAUGGUCAACAAACAUCUAGGAGUGCGAUGCAAAGCAGCAAAGUUCAAUAACACAGCACACCUUUGUUUUGAACGUGCACAUUUCUUGACCAAUUCGACUGGAGCAGCAUACAAAAUGAAUACCCCUAUUUAUGACAGUGGUAGUACUACGCAACAGCCGAGAUCUUGAUUCCAGCCCACCGUAUCAGGAUCUUGCAGGCUGCGCCUUUCUUCCAGAAGGAUGUCCGGGUUCAUGAGUCCGGUGCUUAGGAAACAUUCUUGAUCUCCCAAGAUAGUUCUAGGGUCGUUUCCCCUGCUGCGAUACGAGCAGCAGCAGCUGGGACCGUGGCAUGGACGCCAUUAAUCUGCGGGGAGGUUCACGAAUUACGUGCCCAGGGAAGCUUUUGGAGGAACUGGUAAGCAUCUGGUUUCCGCCAACCAUGUUGUCGGCCAAAGUGGGCUCAAGUGUGCUCCAUGAACCAUCUGGACGUCCUCCUCCUAGGUGUUCAGGGCCUUGGAGGAGGUGCUCAGCACCAUCCGAAACUGCAACGCCAUGAGUAUGUUAGCGCUCACGGAUAUGAUCAAUAGCAAGGAGAACAUGCAUGCUGAGAGUAGAUAGUUGAGUGCACUGCAUACCUGCAGGAGCGGGUGGAGGCUGCCAAACCACGGCUUGAGCAGCUGGAGAAGCCGGAGCAUCAUCGACAGUUCCUGGCUUGAGUAGCACCAGCGGGUGCCAUUGAUUCUCGCUACCAGCUACCUAGCUUAGGCAAAGAACAGCUUAAUUAGUCGAUCGAGCAAUAGUACGUGGUUCUGCACUGAUGACUGCCCACAAACUAGCCGCUUAUUUAUGCAAGUUAAGCUCAACCAGGAACCCAGCUUAGUUUCCUCCGUCCGGAAUUACUUGUCGCGGAAAUGGAUGAAAAUGGAUGUAUCUAGAACUAAAAUACGUCUACAUACAUCCAUCUCUCCGAUAAAUAUUUCCGAACGGAGGGAGUACCACACGCCUUCAACAAGAGUCAAAAGGACGAAAAAAUAGUAAAUAACUAGAGAGGCAAAAAGAGAGGAACGCGUCCGUUCAUACCACCAUGUGCACGCGGAGACAAAGACUGUACUACUUCAGACCACGCCAUUCAAUCAAGGAGUAAAAAGAAUUGUGGCACUAGCACAGUUUUGCUCACUGGUGGGCACUGGGGUGACCGUGCAGAUUAAGACGGAUGUCGUUUUCAGAGUUGCUAGCCAUUGCUCACUCCAUAAGAAUAUUUUCAAGGUCUCAAUCAUCCGAGCUUAACCUACCGGACUCAUAUUUAUGUUUCCUUUUGCUGGCAAAACAAGUUGAGGACGGAGACAGAGCAAAGAGAGGCGGCCUCAUCAAAGUAUAGCAGAGACAUGAGACAGAGGAUGGCCUAUAUGCUUCUUUACUUGCGUUAUGGCUCAGUGUUCUUCUAGGACAGCGUCCAAGACAUGCUUGGAUGGGAUUUGCUGCUAUGGCUUGGGCUCUUUGGAAUGUUAGAAACAACUGACAGAAAAACUAUGUUUCUUCCUUGUAAGCCGGUAUCCCCAGCAAAACUAUGUCGCUUUCAGCCGGCUUUAUAAAAAGGUUGUUAAUUAGCAGGAGUAUCUGUUACUUUCUCAGUCUGAAACCUCGAGUCAAAAGGAGUCCAUAGGCGAUUUACAAGGAUGAAGCGACCAUUUAGCAAUCGUCAGGACCCCGCGUUUCUCUAGUUGACUCUGAAGAACAAUCUUCUCCUUUCAGUGUACUUCUUUCAAAUCGCUCGAUGCCCAUCCAUGUAACGACGAUCAUUAGCACCUUGAGAUAUACUAUCAUCCAAUGCGUCUUAUACUACCUUUCCCAAAUAAUCCAACAGCAACCUGACAAGGGACAACUUGCUAGGAAUCCCAUAUUGUAAGUCCAAGUGGAGUGCCAACAACCGCUUCCAGCUGAUUCAAGGGUCGCAAGCAGGCACAUACUCCAAAUUAAUCACGCGCUCAUAUACACCUGCCCUGUUGAUUUCCACAUUACCGUUAAACUGGAAGCAUGUGUGCUAAUAUAUUAAUUGCCAGGGAUAGUACACUCCAAGUUGCAGAUAUCAUCUACUUUGGCUGGACAGGACCCCAACCAAACCAUUGUUCUAUAUCCUGGAAGCUAGCUCAUGACUUGCAACAAUGACUCGCAGAUAUCAUUGCUGGAAUCCUGGAACAAUGACUUGCAGAUAUUGUUAUUGAGGUUCAGGCAGAUUUUCCACAAGGUCCAAAAUCCAUUACGUUCCGGUGUUGUGUACCUUACCUGCUCCUCCGUCCGUAGCAUCCAGCAUGGUCGCAUUGCCGCCCAUUAUGAUAUCAUAGCUUGUUGCUCCAAUCCCCUACAAUUUAAAGUGGGUGAGGUACUGCUACACACCAUACUUAAACAUCAUCUUGCAAAGCGAGAGCUUCCAUCAAUCUCGAUAGCUGAGCAAUGGUGUCUUCGGGUGCCUUCUUGUUUCCGGGCCUCUGUCAAUUUCUCUGCCUCUUCUUGGGUUUCUUCUGCAGCCUACCAUUACUAGGCAUCUGCGAUGAAUCAGAGAGUGACAGGCAAGCCCUCCUCUGCUUCAAGUCCGGGCUCUUGGCACCCGCCGGAGUUCUAGCUUCAUGGAGCAACGCGUCCAUGGGAUUCUGUGACUGGCAUGGGAUCACCUGCAGCGCGACACCACCCAGGCGUGUUGUUGCGCUGGACCUUGAAUCCGAAGGCAUCUCGGGCUCCAUAGCAUCUUGCAUCGCCAACCUCACUUGGCUGGCAAGGCUCCAGCUGUCCAACAACAGCUUCAGUGGCGGCCUACCACCGGAGCUUGGCCUCCUGAGCCGGCUCACCAACCUCAACCUUAGCAUCAACGCUUUGGAAGGUAACAUCCCGCCUGAGCUCUCUGAGUGUUCCCAGCUCCAAAUCCUGGGCUUGUGGAAUAAUUCCUUCCGUGGAGAGAUCCCACCUACCCUUAGCCAAUGCAAGCACCUUCAAGAGAUUGACCUUAGCAACAACAAGCUCCAAGGAAGCAUCCCUCCUGCUUUCGGAGACCUUCCUGCGCUGCGCAUACUAGUUCUCGCCAAAAACAUGCUUACCGGCACCAUACCACCGUCUUUGGGCAGUAGCUGUCAUCUCACAUACGUCGAUCUCGGGAUCAAUGGUCUCGGAGGGGUAAUCCCGGAGUCCUUGGCAAAUAGCUCAUCCCUUCAAGUACUUAGGCUUAUGAGCAAUAGUCUUACUGGUGAACUCCCAAAGGAUCUUCUCAACACUUUGUCACUUGGUACCAUUAGCCUCGAAGAGAACAGUUUUGUUGGUUCAAUACCCUCUGUUACUGUCACAUCUUCCCCUAUUAAGCAUCUUGAUUUAGCGAAUAACAAUCUUUCAGGAAGAAUACCUUCCUCAGUAGGGAACCUUUCCUCCUUAGUUUAUCUUCGUCUUACAAACAACCAUUUAGUUGGGAGCAUCCCGGAGAGCUUAGGUUAUAUUCCAACACUAGAGACAUUGACCUUGCAUAUAAACAACUUAUCUGGGCCGGUUCCACCAUGUAUCUUCAACAUGUCAUCUCUGAGAAGUCUCGCCAUAGCAAAUAACACACUUGUCGGAAGAUUACCCUUCGACAUUGGCUACACACUCCCCAAUAUCCAGAACCUACUACUCUCAGAAAAUAGUUUUGAUGGACCAAUCCCAGCCUCUCUUCUCAAAGCUUACCACCUACGCUGGCUUUACCUGAAUGGUAAUAGCUUUACUGGAUCCAUACCAUUUUUCGGCUCAUUGCCAAAUUUGGAGGAACUCGAUUUGGGACACAACAAGCUAGAAGCAGAUGACUGGGGCUUUGUCUCUUCACUAUCUAAUUGCUCCAGACUGAGCAUGCUGGCCCUGGAUGGGAACAAUCUCAAAGGGAAAUUGCCAAGUUCUAUUGGCAACCUUUCGAACAGUCUCGAGUGUCUGUACCUAAGUAGUAACCAAAUUUCUGGACCUAUACCACCAGAGAUUGGAAAUCUUAAGAGCCUCAAUAGCUUGUACAUGAAUUACAAUCUUCUCACCGGUAAUAUACCGCCAACAAUUGGGAAACUGCAGAACUUGAUCUUACUAUCCUUUGCGCAAAACAGGCUUUCAGGUCAGAUUCCAGAUACUUUUGGCAAUUUUGUUCAGCUGAGUAUGCUGGAAAUGGAUCAUAACAACUUUAGUGGAAGAAUACCUGCAAGUAUAGCACAGUGCACUCAACUCACCACACUCAACCUUGCUCACAACUCACUAGAUGGGCAUAUACCAAGAGAAAUCUUCAAACUCUCUACGCUUUCUGAAGAGUUGGACUUGUCAGACAACAACUUGUCUGGAGGAAUGCCAGAUGAAGUUGGCAAUCUCGUUCAUCUGCAGAAAAUCAACAUGUCAAAUAACAGGUUGUCUGGUAACAUCCCAUCAACUCUCAGCCAGUGUGUUGUUCUGGAGUAUCUUGGGAUGCAAAGCAACUUGUUUGCAGGAAGCAUUCCACAAUCAUUUGCCAACUUAGUCAGCAUAAAACAGAUGGAUGUUUCUAGGAACAAUUUGUCUGGAAAAAUUCCAGAGUUCCUCAAAUCCAUGAAAUCACUGCAAGACCUCAAUUUAUCCUUCAACCAUUUUGAUGGAGCAGUUCCAACAGGCGGUGUUUUUGACAUCGCUGGUGCAGUGUCAAUCGAAGGAAAUUAUCAUCUGUGUACAAGCAUUCCAACAAGAGGGGUGUCUCUUUGUUCAGCAGUGGUUGACAAGAAAAGAAAGCAGAAGCUACUGAUUCUAGUUCUACUGCCAACUGUUGUUGCCACUGCAAUCCUUUUCUCAUUUAUUGCAACAAUUUGUUUGAGGAAAAGGAUGAAAACCAAUCCCCAUUUGCAACAUGACAAUGAGCAGAUAAAGAUAGAGAAGAUAUCAUAUGAAAAGGUAUCAUAUAAAGACUUGGUAAGGGCAACUGAUAGAUUUUCUUCAGCAAACUUAAUUGGUUCUGGAUCAUUUGGAAGGGUUUAUAAGGGCAGUCUGCAGUUUCAAGAAGAUCAAGUUGCCAUCAAGAUUUUUGAUCUUGACAUUAAUGGGGCACAUCGGAGCUUCAUAGCAGAGUGUGAAGCCCUAAGAAAUGUUCGCCACCGGAAUCUUGUAAAAAUAAUUACCUUAUGCUCUUCAGUGGAUCAUACUGGGGCGGAUUUCAAGGCCCUAGUGUUCCCAUACAUGCCAAAUGGGAACCUAGAAAUGUGGCUACAUCUAAAAGACCCUGAAAAUGGUGAAAGGAGUAUUCUGACUUUAAGCCAAAGGACUAACAUAGCCUUGGAUGUAGCACUUGCUUUGGAUUAUCUUCACAACCAAUGUGCACCUCCAGUUAUACAUUGCGACUUGAAGCCAACCAAUAUUCUUUUGGGUCUUGACAUGGUUGCAUACGUCAUUGACUUUGGCCUAGCAAGAUUCUUGUUCAGGACAGAGAAUGCACAUCAAGAUAGUUCAGCAACUUUGAGCCGCUUAAAAGGAACCAUAGGAAUACAUCCCACCAGGUGAGAUAAGCUUAUUUGCAAGAUACUGGUUCUGUUUGUUCCUUAUGGAGUUGUACAAAUAAUGAUGAUUGUUUAAUUUUAUUGUGUUUUUAAAUGUAAAUGCAGAGUAUGGAAUGAGCGAAGAGAUAUCAACCAAGGGUGAUGUCUAUAGUUUCGGGGUGCUUCUGUUGCAACUGAUAACAGGGUGCAGUCCAACUGAAGAAAAAUUUAAUGAUGGUAUAAGCCUUCAUGAAUUUGUUGAUAAAGCAUUUAGAAAGAAUAUUCACGAGGUUGUUGACCCCACAAUGCUACAUGAUAACAGCAGUGCAACUGACAUGAUGAAGAAUUGCGUUAUUCCACUUUUAAGAAUAGGCCUCUCUUGCUCCAUGAAAUCACCCAAAGAGCGGCCAGAUAUGAGACGAGUUUCUACUGAGAUCCUUAGAAUAAAGCACAUGGCCUCAUACACAUGCAUGUCAGAUGAAGCAAAGAAUUGGCAGGAAAGUAGCUAGCAACAGAAGUUCAUGUAAAGAAGAAUAGUAAUGUACUAUCUUGUUUUUUCGUUUUCUGAAUCCAGUUUGAGUCAUUUCAGAGGUAGCUAAUGCAUCCAUGUCAAAUGGCUUUGCACAGUUUUGUUUCUGCUAAUGUAUGUUUUUCAUAUCUAUACAAAGUAGGAAACAUGUCCUUUUAAGUUUUAAUUUACAGCAAAGUUAUCUACUCAUACAUGGCGGAGAGAGGAGUGAAGGGCAUAAAUGGCACCUAAAUAUCUUAUGUGGACAAGCAAGUUUCACUCAAGUAGAUGACUCAACAAGAGCUAAAAAAUAAAUCAGUGUUCCAAACCUGACUGUGCAAUGAAUUUCUGAAACAAGGACUUCAGUUCAGCACACAGAUCUCCCCUUCCCAUCUUGUGCAAACCUUUGGACACUGUAACAUAAGCAGAAUGGUCAGGCCUGAGGCCCUUCUCCAUCAACUCAUACAGGACACUUCCAGCCUCGACGAUCCUCCCCGACCUGUGCAACAGCUUGGCGAGCAGGCUGUAGUUCCUGUUCGUGGAGUGUGAAUCCCUGGUGCUCAUAGCCCUCACAUAAUCGCAAGCAUCGUCAAUUCUCCCAGCAUAGAAGUACCCUUUGAUGAAGGCUGUGUGGAUUGUAAUCCUCGGCGUCAGAUUUUCUGAGAACAACUGAUCGAGAAUCUGCCUUGCCGAAUCCAUCUUCCCCGCCUUGCAGGCAUGGUAUGUGAGGAUCUCGUACGUCAGUGAGUUCGGGAUGUCGUCGUGGUCCGACCUCUCCAUGGUCUCAACAAGGUCGCACGCUUCGGUAGCCCUGCCAUUCUUCAGCAGGCACCCGAGGAGGUAGUUCCAGGAGUUGGCAUUCGGGCCGCAGCUCCCCUUCCUCAUUUCGUCGAACAGCUCGUGGGCGCCCCGGAAGUCGCCGGCCUUGCACUUGGCAGCCAAGAGGACGUUGUAGUAGCUCGCCCUCCUCGCCGUCUCCUCGAUCACCCACACGGCCGCGUCGAGCUCGCCGAUCGAGGCCAACGCCUUGACCAGCGAGAACACGCCGGACGCGCGGCACGGGCCGCCAACACCGUCCAGAGUCGUCAGAGUCGCCCUCACCGCGUCAUCCACGCUGCUCGACGACCUCGCCGCGGCCUCCAGGAACGCGAACGCUUGCUCGGUAAGGGAGAGCCGCCGCGCCGACGCUUGCCCGAGGGCGCGGGCCAUGGCGGGGUAGUCGGCCAGCCUGCCGGCGUUCUGGACGAGCAGGUUGUGGGCGCGGGCGCUCGGGGGGACGCCCCUGUGCCGGGAGAGCCAGGCGAAGAAGCGGAACGAGGGGACGCCGCGCUCCGUGAGCGCGCGGAGCGCCGCCGACACAGCGGCGUCGGAGAGGGGCGGGCCGAGGCGGUCCAGGUCCGCCUCCAGGCUGCCGCCAUCGCCGCCUGCCGCGACGAGGCUGACGAUCGCAUUCGAGGUGGCGGCGGUGGUGGGGUCGCUGCUGCGGAGAUUUGAGGAGGGUCUCGAGGAGGAGAAGGUCGCGCCGCCGGCAGAGACUGCGCGGUGGAGCCGCCGGGGGAUGAGACGAGACAUUGGUGUGCUCCGAGUCUGGCUGGAACUGGAACUGGACUGUUNNNNNNNNNNNNNNNNNNNNNNNNNNNNNNNNNNNNNNNNNNNNNNNNNNNNNNNNNNNNNNNNNNNNNNNNNNNNNNNNNNNNNNNNNNNNNNNNNNNNNNNNNNNNNNNNNNNNNNNNNNNNNNNNNNNNNNNNNNNNNNNNNNNNNNNNNNNNNNNNNNNNNNNNNNNNNNNNNNNNNNNNNNNNNNNNNNNNNNNNNNNNNNNNNNNNNNNNNNNNNNNNNNNNNNNNNNNNNNNNNNNNNNNNNNNNNNNNNNNNNNNNNNNNNNNNNNNNNNNNNNNNNNNNNNNNNNNNNNNNNNNNNNNNNNNNNNNNNNNNNNNNNNNNNNNNNNNNNNNNNNNNNNNNNNNNNNNNNNNNNNACUUUGAAAAUUAGCUACGAAAAUGAGAUUUAUUUUUUUUGGCUGUGGAAAAUGAGAAUUUAGAAAGCAUAACCAGCAACAAGCAAACGUUCAGCUCAGUGGCAAGUUGAGGAUAUGUUUAAUUAGAACAUGUGUUCAAAGCUACAGUUUAGUCCAUGUAAAAAAAAGGUAAAAAAGAAAGAAGUGCCAGUGGCCAUUAGGUCACCAUAGUCUCCAAGACUUGACUUUGAAAUAUUUUUCCUAUUUUUGAAAUGUAGAAGCUUAAUUUUAACUUUUCCCAAUUACCUAGAACAUUGAAUAGAUCUCCAAACAGGAAAAAAAAUUUCUAUCCACAGUUGGUUAAAAAAAAACCCACCGUUCCUACUUGUCAUUUGAAACACUUAUAUGGUGUGAUAUAAAAUACCAUAAUGCACCUUUGGACCAGAUAUCAACUCCUGUUGACUCAGAUUUUAACUUUUCCCAAUUACCUCAAACAUUGAAUAGAUCUCGAAACACACAAAAAAAAAUUCUAUCCAUCGUUGGUUCAAAAAAAAACUCACCCUUCCUACUUGUCAUUUAAACACUUACUAGUGGUUAGGGCCCGCCAUUGCGAGCCCGAAAUUGUUUCACACGCGACACUACUCGCACGACCUGCAGACGAUAGCAUCAGUAAGGAAAAAACAAUUCCUCUCCUGCCUACAGCCUCGCAGUUGGCACUGCGAUCGUGCAUGCAUCGGUCGCAAUAUAUCGUGUGUAUAGCACCGUUCUUGCGAGCCGCUUGAGAGAAAGCUGUGCGCACCUCACCUUCAUCUCGAAAGUAAAAAAAUAUCCUCGCGUCACGUGGACAUCGUAUCCAUCUCAAAAAGAAAAAGAAAAAGAAAAAUACUAGAAAAACUUUUCUCAAAAAGAUAAAAAAUUCUCACUUCCAUCUUCAAAAAUAAUCUUAAAAGGUUAAAAACUUUCUCACCAUGACCAACCAGCAUGCGCCACAUGGCCACCUUUCUACCGCAUAUUACUGUGUUUAAUGUAGUUUGAUAUAAAACAUCAUAAUUGACCGUUGGACUAGAGAUCAAGUCCCGUUGACUCAGAUUUGGGUAGAAACUCUUGCCAAUCCCACAUGACGACAUAAAGAAUAUGCAUAAAUGAAUCAUAUCAAGUCCUUAUAUUUCCCACGUCUAAGGAAAAUUACUCACACAUGAGAGGGGAUAACCAAAUAUCACAGAGAUAAAGCCAAGGAAAAUCAUAUCGAUAAUAUCGCAAACAUCCGCAAUAAGAUGAAUGAUUAAAUAAGUAUUUAUCUCAAGAUUAGUACAAAUAGAGUAACAAAGCUUAACUUACAACUUGGAAUUCCUCUCCCUAUGGUGGUGUUGCUAUGAAUGGAAAUGAAUAUGGGUGGAAGAGAAGGAAUGGAUCCCCGGUGGUUUUUCUUCUCGAAUUCUCUUCUCUCUUUGUUCUGGAUGUCGGGGCGGCGCCUCUGUCUCUGAAGUAUGUUGUGCCUUCACGAAAGUGGCAUUUGUAGAUGAGGUGGUGGCAGCGCCAAGUUGUACGAUCAUUGGUAUGAAUGGGACCCGCGCUUUGUUGGCCCUGUUGACUUUUUGCCCAAAAGAGAAGUUGCUCCAAAUAUCUUUAUUUGACAUGUUAUUGAUUGAUUUCCUUUCAAAUAUGUUCUUUCCUACAUAAAUACAAGUUUUCUUUUUUCUCGAAGGAUUGAUGUUAGAAAGAUGUGAGAAAUAUCAAAAACCUUGUGAAAACCACAUCAAAACCCUCUUACAAAAGUGACAAAGUAUCAAGCCAUUACCCAUGCCCUUCCGCCAUUGGAAGGACUACUCCGACAAUGACAAGACGUCGGCGGCGGCACAGACAAAGAAGGAGGUGCCGCUGGCUAGCCCGGAUGGAGUACGAGGUCACCAUCCGCUACAAGCUAUUUUAGUUUUUCUUUUAGGUUUUAGUUGAACAGACGAAUAUUGUUUCUUUUAUGUAAAUUUCGUCUGAACUUUAGUGAAUUCCAUCGUGUUUACUUGAAAAUCGUUCAGUUUGUUCAAAUCCGCUUUGAAAUGUAUGCCGGCACAGUUGGAUGGCCGGCUCCGGUAUCACUGUUCGCGGACGUGUCUGGUGACGCCUGUAGACAAAUACAAUGUACGUUUUAGGGGUUAGCGUUGGAGAUGCCCUAAACAUCAUGUAGUAUAUGUUGAGAACGAUUGCGCAUCUGAGUGAUGUAUGUGCUGGAUCGACCGCCAGAUCCUGAUCGUUUUCCAUCAACGUAAAAUUAUAGUGAUAGAGCCUGCUUUUAUAUUGGUUGAGGUUUGCUUAAACUAGCUCUGUGCUCGGUUGAUCGACCCAUGUGAAGAAUUACUUAUUUUCACCCGGAUAAUUAUUAUAAAUAAGUCUAACAUGAGUAAAAUGUAACAUAAUCUUCUUCAUUAACGUGAUCAAGCCAUAGUGUCGCCUAAUUGAACUAUAAAAAGUGCAACCAUAUUGGCCUUUAUGGGAAGGCCCUAGCUCGUUAUACCAUCAUAUGCCCUUUUAUUGUUAUCAUCCCUAUGGAAAGAGUUAGGUGGGUUGUGUUACCUAGGUUAGGUGACCGAGGUCUAAAGUAUGGGAGCCUAGACCAGAUUGUUAUUUUGAGCNNNNNNNNNNNNNNNNNNNNNNNNNNNNNNNNNNNNNNNNNNNNNNNNNNNNNNNNNNNNNNNNNNNNNNNNNNNNNNNNNNNNNNNNNNNNNNNNNNNNNNNNNNNNNNNNNNNNNNNNNNNNNNNNNNNNNNNNNNNNNNNNNNNNNNNNNNNNNNNNNNNNNNNNNNNNNNNNNNNNNNNNNNNNNNNNNNNNNNNNNNNNNNNNNNNNNNNNNNNNNNNNNNNNNNNNNNNNNNNNNNNNNNNNNNNNNNNNNNNNNNNNNNNNNNNNNNNNNNNNNNNNNNNNNNNNNNNNNNNNNNNNNNNNNNNNNNNNNNNNNNNNNNNNNNNNNNNNNAAGUGUUUGUCGGUGGUGUAAUAAGAUUGGCAUGAUGGUAAAAUGCGGCUUUAAUUUGUUGGAGUAACCCUAGACGGCCCCUCAUGGGCGGAGGCACGGGACACAAGGGAGAGCUUCAUAGUGUAGGUAAAGUGUAAAAAUUCUGCAGAGCGUAAAAAAAAUUCUUUGAACAGCCGUGUCUGCGGCGAUAUGGGCACAGUUUGAGAUAAGUCACAAUAUACGGUCAAUGUCGAGUACUCCCUCCAUCCGAAAAAACUUGUCUCUCAAAUGGAUGUAUAAGAGAGCAAACCUCAAGUAAAAUUAAUAACUGGGUGAAGGGAAAUGAAAUAAAGGAUCAUGAGGUGAUCAGGCGGAGUGAGGCCCAAAACUCUAUUUUCAAUGCCGAGAAAAUUGAAAUAAUGGUGGCUCACGUGACCUUAAAUAGACGAAUUUUCUUUGCCACAAUUGUUUUACUUUAUGCACUGGUUGUGCUUCGGACCCUGAGCGUUGAGACAUUCAGGAUGGGACUGAUUACUUUAUACACAUUCCCGAACUUGUUGUGCCCCAUGCCUUUGUGGCGUUUGUAUAAAUCCUGGAUGGUCUGGCAACCUUGCUUGUAGAAAUCCUGGGAUGGUUUGGCUACCUUACUUGUUGUGCCCCAUGCCUUUGGCAUUGUAUAAACCCUAGAACGAUGUGUGCUACCUUACUUGUUGUGCCCAUGCAUUUGACGUUUGUAUAAACUCUGUGAUGGUUGGCUACCUUAUUUACUUACUCUGAUUGUUGAGCCCACGUCUCGGCGGUCGUCGACCCCUCGGCGAUGGUGUGUAUGCAUUUGUCGUGGACCCCAUGUCAUGGAUGUGUGUCCCAAUAUAUAGUGUCCCUAAGGAUUGGAGUCUCGCCACUAAGUUACUCUGUUAUGUUGUGCUUUCCGAUACUAGUUAUUGAGGCUCAUGAUUUGUGCACUAAAUAAAGUAAAAUAGUUUUGCCGGUGUUGAUUCUGUAAUCUUAGAGUAUUUUUUUCGUAAAGGAGGAUGACCCCAUGUAAUCUUGGAGUAUACAUGAUAGAAGCAUACACGGAGAAAGAAAUCAUGCAAAGAAAAGGAAGCAUUAAUCUUGGAUGGUCUCAUGAACGAAGCCGCACUAGUCUGAUGUGAUGCUUCUGAUCGUUAGUCUGAUCCCUAGCAAUGCCCUUUUCUUUUUCCAGGAAUGCGAUGGAGCAACCGUGUGAGAUAAAUCAUUUAAAAAAAUACAAACUAUUCCCUCUAUGUUCUUAUGGUGUCGAGCCCAUAGAGAAACAUAAUUUGUGGUUUGCGAGAUGCAACAUGCAAUUCUCUUUGACAUCAUGAUGCAUGUCAUGCCAUAAAUGGACGGAGUUUCUUUUUCGAUCGAUGGAAGCAAUGGUGAAACCGGGUCGUCGGUUGGAUUGAUGGUUUGCGAAACAAAAGGAUUAAACAUAAAGUUGGAGAAACAUUAUAAUUUGGGGAGGGAGAGUGGAGACGCCCCAUGAAAAUGCAUGGGUGUGGUUGCUGUUGUCCUUUGUGUUCGUGUGAUAGAUAGUAGAGCCAUCAAACUCACUAGCUAAUUGCCCGUGCAACGCGUACUCUAAUGGUUCAACACCAAUGUUGUCCACCCGCCAAAAAAAAUAUCAAUUUUAUCUGACAUAUAACUUACAUCAAUGUUGGUAAUAUUUAUUUUGAUGGAGUAUGCGUAGAGGAAGGUAAGGAAAGUUUUGAAUUAGCUGAGAUUUGAUAAGAUUUAUUUGAUUUGAUUGAGUUAUUAAUGCAGGAGGGUGAGAACAUGGGAGAAAAUACCAGGUGAAAGAUGGAGGCGACGAGAUUUUGUUGGCUUGGCACGUGACCAUGAGAUGCACCAAGGAGGGAGUGGGGCCGUUUCAGAUCCGAUCGCGCCAUGGGGCAUGCAAGCCGGCAACCCCUGAUUGCCCCUGAACGGCAUCCUUAUCCUGACGGAAUUUAACCACUCUCGGCCCAUUGGAGGGGCUCACGCAGAUAUUUGCUGCUUGGUGGUUCGUCAACGUCAUGGAGGGACCCGUCCCGUCCCUCUCGCUCAUUUUCGCCCGCUCCCCUCUCCAUCCAAUCAUCGAGAGACGUACGCCAGCGAGCGAGCGGCAGCCCGAGGAGGAGGAGGCGAGGCGAGGGAUAGCGCGGCGCGGGCCGGUUGAGCUGCGGCGUAUCGAGGACCGGACGAGCCGGCAGGUGCGCUUCUCCAAGCGCCGCUCGGGCCUCUUCAAGAAGGCCUUCGAGCUCGGCCUCCUCUGCGACGCCGAGGUCGCGUUGCUCGUCUUCUCCCCCGCCGGCAGGCUCUACGAGUACGCCUCCUCCAGGUAUAUGCAGGGUGUGCUUUGUUUAUUUAUUUAUUUACCUAUGUAUAUCUCCGCUCCAAUCAUUGUUAUAUACAGUAGACAAUUGCCUGUGACAAAUCUGUUGCUAUAUUUGCACUACUUCCUCAGUCAAGAAAUAUAAGAGCGUUUAGAUCACGCUCUUAUACUUCUCCACAAAGGGAGUAGUAAAUAAGCAACAAUUAAUAUGGAUUGGAGGGAGUACAUUUUUCUCACUGUAUUUAGAUAGAACUGUGUAUGAAAUUGUCAGUCAAGCCCGCGUAAAUCUUUGAAUGUACCAUUUCCAAACGUUAACGGUAUCCAUUUGUUUUCAGCAUAGAAGAUACAUACGACCGCUAUCAGGCAUUUGGAGGAGCCGGAAAGAACCUGAAUGAAGGCGGUGCAAGCACCAACAGUGUAAAUUUAUCUCUCUAUAUAUAGCUUUUCUUAUUGCAUACACCUUAGAGCUAGUUUAGGAGUGGAAGCUGCCAAGUACGUAGUAUCAUUCUGCAGAUUUAAUUGGUCUAUAUUUCUGAAUUUACCAUGGAAAUGCACUACGCAUGAUGAAGUGUACGCUUGUAAUCAUGGAUUAUGUUGCCUAUGCACAUGACCAGCAAAACGAAUGCAAGGAUGAUCAUUUUCAUAAUGUACUAGCACUGGCUUAUCUGAACAAGUCAUCUAUGUUCUCUAUAAUCCAGGUCUAGGUUGUAAUUACACCAUUCUGUAUCCAGGAUAACCAAAUUGUAUAACUAUUUAUAUACACUUUUCAAGCAAGAUUGUCUAUAUACCCACAUAUCUCUGACAUGAUAUGUUGGUCCUGUACCAGGAUGGAGAUCCUUCAAAUAUACAGUCAAGGCUUAAAGAGAUUGCUUCCUGGUAGCCCUCAGACACCUUUCACAACAUAUAUAUCCUAGUAUGUUAUUUAAUAUGUCUAGCUCAAUGCUGAUUAUGUGCAAUCCUGAAGGUCUCUUCAAAACAAUGCUGAUGACGCAGAUGCUAGUGAGCUAGAGAAACUGGAGAAACUACUCACAGAUGCUUUGGAGAAUACAAAAUCCAAGAAGGUACACCUAAAUGGCUCUGUUGAUGUUUCUAAUCAACUUUUGUAGCCAAGAAUCAAGUUUCUGGUUCCUGUUGCACCCUUGCGCCAUCAGGAAAAUGGCUCUGUUUUCGGCCAUUUCAACUAAUUCAACAGCUCGUGGCUUUAGCAUAGCAUGAUCUUAGUUCACUCUGGAUGAUCUAACUACACAUAAGCAAUCAUCACUGAUUCCUUAACAAAAAAUCCUCCUACGUAAUGGUGUAAGGUAAGUACUUUUCAUUUCGAUUGGCUAUUCGUAAGCACUAGAGAUAGUUCGAUGAUGUAGUUGCAUAUUGACUCUUGAGACAAUGGUCCUGAAUGUGUUAGUUCCUAUAUCUUGGUAAAUGAUAGGUAAAAUAGAUAGAAUGAAAAACUCGUUGGCUACUUCACAGUGCAUGUGGCUGUCUUUGAUAUUUUCACAGCGGCUAGUACAUUUUUUAAAUUCAGCAUUAAGCUAGAUGUGCUACUGUGGUUUAAACCUUGAUUGUGUGGAACUAUACUUGGACGAACUGUCCUGUGAUGUGAACAUAGCCGAAGUCAACAGAUGUUCUGGCUACACAAGAAUCGGCAACAAGUGGGUUGCGUUUUCACUUUCUCUGAGAAUUGUAUCAGUAGUAAGCCUGUUUGCAUUGCAGGCUUACUACUGAAAUGACAGACAAAAUGGGGACAUCAGAAUAGGUUAUGUGAGUUACUUGCAAACAGGAAAUUAAGUCUUGGAACAGAACCUGGCAUGCGAGUUCAAUCAAUUAUCAAUACAAAGACUACUCACAAGGCUAUUUGGUGUGCAAAGCAGGAGAGGAUACUACUGUAUCCUCUGAAUCCAUGCACAAAGACUUGUUAACAAGCUUUGGUUUGCUGUUGCUGGAGUGCAGAUGUUGGCGCAACGAAAUAGCGGCGCAAGAACCAGUGCGAGCGGCGCGAACUCCAUCAGUCUUAGGGGACAGGAGGAAGGAAGGAGCUGAGCAGUCUAUGUGUAAUGCAUGUAUUUGCUGCUGAUGCUACACUGCUGCCUUGCCUUGUGCUUUUCCUAUCAGUCUGUUGUCAGUCUUCACUGCUGCUAGUGUCAUACGCAGCUGCGUGAGAAAUAAGUUUAUCUUGAUGUGCACUUCCUAUAAACUAGAUGAUUUCCCCGUGCGUUGCUGCGGAAACUUAAAAUAUUUUUUUGGGCUUGCUUCCGUAGACCCCCCCAACAAAACGUAGAAGGGCAGAAUGGGCAUACGAAAGAAGGGUAUGCCCACCUCAUAUUAUACAGUUGUGGAUGACGUACGUAGACCGCGUGCAUGCAAAAAAAACACAAACAAACUGCCAGCACGAUCUACUCGCCCGCCCACCCCGUCUACUCGCCCGGCCCAUCCGAUCGCCGCCGCCGCGGAUCGCCGCCCUCCGACCCCGUCCGACGCCGCCGUCCGAGCCCGUCCGACGCUGCCGUCGCCGUCCCAACAGCGUGCGUCGCCGCAUCUCACCGUCAUCGUCCACCGCCCGGACGUGAAGGCCCGUGUACUCGCCCGCCCGCCCCGUCUACUCGCCCGCCCCAUCCGAUCGCCGCCGCCGCGGAUCGCCGCCCUCCGACCCUGUCCGCCGCCGCCGUCCGACUCCGUCAGACGCCGCCGUCGCCGUCCCAACGGUGUGCGUCGCCGCAUCUCACCGUCAUCAUCCACCGCCCGGACGUGAAGGGCCCGACGUGCCACGCCGCCUCCGCACCACUCUCCCCACCCCCCGUCGCGGAUCCUGCCAAACAUCCGGCCGGUGGCUCGUCGUGCACGUCGCCGGCUGCUAGAUUCAAGGCGGGGACAGCUGCCGUCGUCGAACGCCGGCGACGCCUACACCGCGGGGCAAGGUUUGUCAUCUAAACCUAGCGGGCAUGAUGGAUGGAAGUUAGGGCUAGUUAAGUGGCGAAUCUAGGAUGUAAGUGGAGGGCAGGCUUAAUUUAAAGAACGCUAUAUUUUUUUCAUGACGACAUCAUACAAUAUGCACACACCGCUGGGCAACCUCAACUAGUUGUUUCACACAACACUAAAAAGUGUUGUUUGAACCAUUGCAUUAAGAAAAAAUUCAUGGUAGCUGCUGGGUUCAUGGAUUACACGUCUUUCUCUUUUUUUGCAAACCAACAUGAGUUUUUGUCCUUGUUGUAAUCAACACUUCAAAUGUUUUGCAGUUCUGUGAGUUAGGCGUGUUGACAUGGAGAAAGAAUCCGCAUUCGGGAGGGACGAGAAUGAUACUGAUAAGGUGACUAAGACUGAUAACGAAAAUUUGAACGAAGAUGAUGACAACAGCGACAAUGAUUCCGUCUCGUCAUAUGAUAUCUUACCUCCGGAUGAUUUUCAUAAUAAUGAACAUGGCGCAAAUAGUGAAAACGUAAGUGGCAUAUAUUUUAAUUUUAUUUUUGAAUUUGCAAAGUAUGGCAUGGCUAACUAUAUAUCUUUGUGUACAAAUUUGCAAGAAGAUGUGGAUGUUGACAAUGUGCAACAUAGUUGGCAGGAAUCAUUUGCAGAUAACUUGAGCCAGGUUAGUUGAUAGAUGUUGUACAUCGAUCAAUACUAUGAUUUGAAUGAUAGUAAUUGACAUAUAUAUUUUCAAAUGAAUGUUGUAGGAGGAGUCAGAUGGUCCUAGCGUUGAUCACGAUGAGGGAGAUAUCGAUAUUGAGGAGGCUCAAAGGCAGCAGAAGAUGCUUGAGACACAUUGGAAGGUCAUGGCUAUGACCUUUCGGUCGCAAGGGGAUGCAUACAUAUUCUACAACAAUCACGCCAGAGAGCACGGGUUUAGCAUCAGGAAACAGAAGGUGAAACGAGGUGCUUCGGGAAUGAUACGGUACCGGCGGUUUCUUUGCUCCAGGGCAGGGAGAAGGCAGAGCAAGUUCAUAACCAUGGAGGGCCGCAAGCGCAGGCUUAGACCGGAGACUCGUUGCGACUGCGGUGCACAUAUGGUGGUGAAGCUGGACAGAGAACGUGACGUUUGGUUCGUCGCAUCAUUCGUGGAUGAUCACAACCACGCGAUGGCUCGGCCCGACGAGGUUUGUUUUUUGUGGUCACACAGACGGAUUGGAGAUGGCCAGAGGGCCGAGAUAUUGGCGAUGGAAGCGGCCGAGAUAAGAAAGCAUAUUAUAAUGGACAACUUCAUCAGCAGAUACGGUUCGUAUGAUAAGUGCGGGCUUAUCAGGAGGGACAUUUACAAUCUUUGUUGCAGAGAAAAAAUGAAGCUCAUUGCAAAGGGUGAUGCAGAGACGGCAGUUGGCAUUAUGAGGAGCAGGAAGGAAAAGGACCCUAAGUUUUUUUUGAGUAUGUGCGUGACAAGGAAGGGCGACUGAAGAGUAUGUUCUGGUGCGAUGCACAGUCGCGGAGGGACUAUCAGGACUACGGAGAUGUUGUCGUGUUUGAUAGCACGUAUAAGAUGAAUAGAUACGGUAUGCCGUUCGUCCCCUUUGUCGGAGUUAACAACCACCGUUGCACCAUAGUGUUUGGUUGUGCCAUCAUUGCUGACGAGACGGAAGGGACAUACGUGUGGCUACUGCAGACAUUUAUGAAGGCAAACUGUCAGGUGAAGCCAAAGUCAAUAAUCACAGACGGUGACGCUGCAAUGAUCCGGGCUUUUCGGACUGUCCUUUCAGAUGUUUUCCAUCAUCUUUGCUCCUGGCAUAUCGAGAAAAAUAUGCAGAGGCACCUGCAUUACAAGUCACUGGAUGAGUUCAGAUCGCUCCUGUACUAUGCCACCUCUCAAGCGAACUUUGAGCAGAGAUGGAAAGCUUUCUAUGAUAAGUGGAAUACGGAUAGAACUGAAGAGUGGCUUGACAGGAUGUAUAGGAAGAGGAGACUUUGGGCAGCUUCAUAUCUUUCCGAUGGUUUUUUCCUUGGUAUGCGAAGUAACCAGAGGAGUGAAAGCCUCAACUCCUGCCUUCACCUUCACCUGGACUACGGUAUGACAAUUGUUGAUUUGGUGGUGCAUUAUGAGAACUGUAUAGUUCGCCUGCGUGAGAACGAGGCGUACGAUGACUGCGAGGCAUUCCAGAAGGAACCACCGUCGGUUACUGAAUAUAAGGCCCUUGAGGAGCAUGCCGCCAAAGUAUUCACACCUGCUAAUUUCUACAUCCUCCAAGAUGAUUUGCAUAAGAUGGGUCAGCUGGAGAUAUUUGAGACGCUCGUGGGAAUUGGGCGUCAGACAUUCAUGGUGACAUGGAAGGAUAACCACAAGUUCAGGUAAAAUAUUGUUUAUGAACCAGGUAACUCAGAAGAAACUAUUACAUGCAGUUGUCUUAGGAUGGUUCGGAAAGGGCUGCCAUGCAAACACAUUCUGUUUGUUCUCCAUCAUCUGAACUUAACUGAAAUACCAAAAUUUUGUGUCCUGCAUCGGUUGUCCAAACAUGCGAGAGAUGGGUUGCCUCUGCAGCGGAAGAGUGAUAUGUUUGGAUGGGGUUGGUCUGGGCCAUUGGAGAGAGAACGGUAUAGUGCAAUAACCAUUAAAACCGCAGAAGCUGCUCAUGUUGCAGCAAAUGAUCCCUUCUUGUUCGACGAGUUGAUGAAGUGUCUGGACAACAUAAUAGCACAGAAAAAGAUUUCAGAGGAGGAACUUAUAGGAAGUAGAAGGUAUGCUAUGCUUAAGAAGGAGGCAAGUCAGGCACAACAAGUUGAGCCUGGUAUUGGUGAUCCUCAGAAAGUUUCGACGAAGGGUGCACCUAAGAAGGGGCGGUCGAAGGGUGGCCCCGACGUUACAAAUAAUGGUAGGCCAAAAGAUUUUACAAAGAAGAAAAGUGGUCCUUUGUGCAGUCUGUGUAGUCUCCCAGUGUUGGGGAACGUAGUAAUUUCAAAAAAAUUCCUACGCACACGCAAGAUCAUGGUGAUGCAUAGCAACGAGAGGGGAGAGUGUUGUCCACGUACCCUCGUAGACCGACAGCGGAAGCGUUAUCACAACGCGGUUGAUGUAGUCGUACGUCUUCACGAUCCGACCGAUCAAGUACCGAACGUAUGGCACCUCCGAGUUCUACACACGUUCAGCUCGAUGACGUCCCUCGAACUCCGAUCCAGCCAAGUGUUGAGGGAGAGUUUCGUCAGCACGACGGCGUGAUGACGAUGAUGAUGUUCCACCGACGCAGGGCUUCGCCUAAGCUCCGCGACGGUAUUAUCGAGGUGUAAUCUGGUGGAGGGGGGCACCGCACACGGCUAAAAUAUCGUAUAUCAAGUGUGUCCAUGGGGUGCCCCUGCCCCCGUAUAUAAAGGAGCAAGGGAGGAGGAAGCCGGCCCUAGGAGGGGGCGCACCAAGUGUGGAGUCCUACUAGGACUCAAUAGUCCUAGUAGGAUUCCACCUCCCAUAUGGAAUAGGAAAAGAGGAAGGGAAAAGAGAAGGAAGGAAGGGGGCGCCCCCCUUCCCUAGUCCAAUUCGGACCAGACCAAGGGGAGGGGUGCAGCCACCCUUGAGGCCCUUUUCCUUCUUUCCCGUAUGGCCCAAUAAGGCCCAAUACGUAUUCCCGUAACUCUCCGGUACUCCAAAAAAUACCCGAAUCACUCGGAACCUUUCCGAAGUCCGAAUAUAGUCGUCCAAUAUAUCGAUCUUUACGUCUCGACCAUUUCGAGACUCCUCGUCAUGUCCCCGAUCUCAUCCGGGACUUCGAACUCCUUCGGUACAUCAACAUACAUAAACUCAUAAUAAAACUGUCAUCGUAACUUUAAGCGUGCGGACCCUUUGGGUUCGAGAACUAUGUAGACAUGACCGAGACACCUCUCCGGUCAAUAACCAAUAGCGGGACCUGGAUGCCCAUAUUGGCUCCCACAUAUUCUACGAAGAUCUUUAUCGGUCAGACCGCAUAACAACAUACGUUGUUCCCUUUGUCAUCGGUAUGUUACUUGCCCGAGAUUCGAUCGUCGGUAUCUCGAUACCUAGUUCAAUCUCGUUACCGGCAAGUCUCUUUACUUGUUCCAUAAUACAUCAUCCCGCAACUAACUCAUUAGUCACAAUGCUUGCAAGGCUUAUAGUGAUGUGCAUUACUGAGUGGGCCCAGAGAUACCUCUCCGACAAUCGGAGUGACAAAUCCUAAUCUCGAAAUACGCCAACCCAACAAGUACCUUUGGAGACACCUGUAGAGCACCUUUAUAAUCACCCAGUUACGUUGUGACGUUUGGUAGCACACAAAGUGUUCCUCCGGUAAACGGGAGUUGCAUAAUCUCAUAGUCAUAGGAACAUGUAUAAGUCAUGAAGAAAGCAAUAGCAACAUACUAAACGAUCGGAUGCUAAGCUAACGGAAUGGGUCAAGUCAAUCACGUCAUUCUCCUAAUGAGGUGAUCCCGUUAAUCAAAUGACAACUCAUGUCUAUGGCUAGGAAACAUAACCAUCUUUGAUUAACGAGCUAGUCAAGUAGAGGCAUACUAGUGACACUCUGUUUGUCUAUGUAUUCACACAUGUAUUAUGUUUCCGGUUAAUACAAUUCUAGCAUGAAUAAUAAACAUUUAUCAUGAUAUAAGGAAAUAUAUAAUACUUUAUUAUUGCCUCUAGAGCAUAUUUCCUUCAGUCUCCCACUUGCACUAGAGUCAAUAAUCUAGUUCACAUCGCCAUGUGAUUUAACAUCAAUAAUUCACAUCACCAUGUGAUUAACACCCAUAGUUCACAUCUCUAUGUGACCAACACUCAAAGGGUUUACUAGAGUCAAUAAUCUAGUUCGCAUUGCUAUGUGAUUAACACCCAAAGAGUACUAAGGUGUGAUCAUGUUUUGAUUGUGAGAUAAUUUUAGUCAACGGGUCUGUCACAUUCAGAUCCGUAAGUAUAUUUGCAAAUCUCUAUGUCUGCAAUGCUCUGCACGGAGCUACUCUAGCUAAUUGCUCCCACUUUCAAUAUGUAUCUAGACCGAGACUUAGAGUCAUCUAGAUUAGUGUCAAAACUUGCAUCGACGUAACCCUUUACGACGAACCUUUUGUCACUUCCAUAAUCGAGAAACAUGUCCUUAUUCCACUAAGGAUAAUUUUGACCGCUGUCCAGUGAUCUACUCCUAGAUCACUAUUGUACUCCCUUGCCAAAAUCAGUGUAGGGUAUACAAUAGAUCUGGUACACAGCAUGGCAUACUUUAUAGAACCUAUGGCCAAGGCAUAGGGAAUGACUUUCAUUCUCUUUCUAUCUUUUGCCGUGGUCGGGCUUUGAGUCUUUACUCAAUUUCACACCUUGUAACACAGGCAAGAACUCUUUGUUUGACUGUUCUAUUU
rnacentral:lncRNA from 1 species